rnacentral:lncRNA from 1 species
UUAUUGUCUGGUUUUAUCCUCGUAAUCAAUGUCAAUAAUUUCAUUGGCGGUGGUGGGCACAGAUCCCCAUUUUCGUGUUUAGUGGAGGUGAUGGAUAUCUACUUCACUUCACUUCUCAUUGAUGCAUAAGAAAACAGAGGAAUUCAAUUCGAUGAUGGCCAAGAACAGAGCAAGAGAUAGAGACAAAUUUGAAACCCCAAAUAAGAAUUUUAAAUAACUGGGUCCAUGGUAGUUUAUCAACGAUCUAGUGAUAGUUGUGGGAGUGCACUGAUUCAUUGGGUCGGGUUUGGACGUAUUACAAUGAUAUGUUAUGAGUUAUGGAUUAAUCAGAUUAUGAGUUUUACGAGUUUGGAGGAUUUUUUAAUAUUGAUGAAUUAAAAUUUAUGAUCUUGUUGUUGGGCCUGAAUAUGAGAGGAAAUUUGGCUUUAAUGGCUUUAGAUGGUUGAGUGUGAUCAAGGAAUUAGGUGUUAAUGAUAGAGUGGUUAAACCGGUAAAUUAUAAGUAACAAGUGAUUUCGUGUUACAAAUAAAAUGAGUUUUGAAAGACACGAAAAAAUGAAAAAUUAAAAUUAUAUGGAACGGAUUAAAUUUACUAUUUAACAAAUAAACUUAAACGACUCAGAGUAAUAAUUUGUAAAUAAAUAAACACCAAGCUAGUACCUAAUACUUGGAUGGACAAACAUAAUUGUAGCCAAACCAAGUUAGCUCGAAGCAAAUUCGUCUUUGAGCGUCAAACAACGGAAUCACAGCCUCCUUUGAAACAGUCGUUGAUGAUUCUACUUCUUCUCCUUUUCGAAAAGUCUUAUUGACAUCUCGGGCGACAAUCUUCACAUCUUUCAGCUCGCGUUCCCAGCUGUAACGAUUCUCAUUAGGCUCUUGUCUACUUUCGCCCCCCAUAUAUCGUGAUAGAAAAACUGGUAGCGCCUUCCUCUCGUAUUUAGAACCUAUAUAAACAAAGGUAACAUAUCUAGGAUGACAAGCCUAAAACAAGUUGUCCAACAUAGCGUUUUCCUCGACUUCUUGCCAGCUAAAAGUCGGCUGGAUCUUCAAGUGCCUAGUCGCAUGAGGACGCUGUAUAGUAUGAUUGGCUUCUUCCUCGUAGAAAAUAACCCAAGCAUGAUCGAAACAAUAAACAGGUAUGUGAAUCUGAGUAGAUUCCAUUUGAAAAACUUGGGCAAAAAUUCAAGUUAGUAUAAGAUAACUUACCGGGGUGCAGUGGCAUGAAAAGUUGACAGUGUGAAAUUGGUGGCUGAAUUUGGCAAGAAAACUCUUCAAUUCUGAGUAACAUCGGCAUGCAUCACUAGAUUUAUAACACUGCAUCCUGCAAUCAACCUCCCAUAAGCAACAGGCUGCAGCAUUCCGGAUUUCACAUUUCUUUAAGCUAUAUGCAUUGCUACCGUGGAACCGCAGGAUGAAGUUCGACAAAUCGGGCCCACCAUCUACCUCGAACUCCUCCAAUCCCGGCAUUGAGCAUAGCUCGAAUUUCUCGAGUUUGGGACUCGAAAUUUUCAGCUUCUUCUCAGACCGAGGUGCAUACAGUUGUAAGGAUUUCAGAAGCUGGAGGCCCGGAAUCAUUGGGACAAUAUAAUUAUAACAAAAGUAAUUAUGAAGUGAAGCUGUCAAAUGAUUGAGCUGAGGAGCAAUUAUUACAAUCCUCGAGACUCCUUCGAUCGGAGGAAGAUCGAGAGUUUGGCGUCGAGGAGCUGCAAUCUCAAUUUCCUUGAGGUCCUCACAACAAGUGAUUCCGAGCGUCCUUAAGUUAAGGACAUCAGAAACUCGAAUCUUCUCCAGUUUCUUAAUGAACUUGAGUUCUAUGGUUUCGAGGAGUGGAGAGCCGGCAAUCAAGUUUGUUAUCGUCCGAUAUUUUGACCGAACAUAGAUGCAGGAAUCGCAGAGAAUUCAGAAAAAGAGAAGAUAGCUGCGACCUAUCUGAUAAAGAUUGAGUGUCUCGAGUUUAGGAGCUAUAAUCUCAAGUUUUUCAAGCUGAUGACAAUGAGAGAUUAUGAGCGUCCUUAGAUUAACAACAUCAUAAACUCGAAUCAUCUUCAAUUUCUUAACGCCUUGGAGUUCUAGGGUUUCGAGGAAUGGCGAGCUAGCAAUCAAGUUUGAUAUUACCCGAUCAUCUGUUUUUGAACAUAAUUUAGAUGCAGGAAUCGCAGAGACUUCAGAGAAAGAGAAUGAAGAUCACCAUUGUUACAGACGAGAGCCAGAUUUCUGAAGUGGAGGCUCGUCAUGGUGGAAUUGGAGAGUGAUUCCAAGGCCAAGCAGAGUCUGUAGUUACACUUGUUGUGAAGAUCUAUAGAGAUCUCUUCUGCCUUCCUGUUCAACGCUAAAACCAGAAGCUGCUCAACAACGGAGGAAACGGUGCAAUUUUCUUUCUCGCCGAGAAGGAGCUUCAGCUUUUCCAUCCGCAGAAGGUUGUCUCGAGAGAAUCAUAGAAUCGAAGCGUCGCACAAAUUCUGGAGAUUCCCUGAGUAAUUUUGGGGGAUGCAAUCAUGGCGGUCGAAUGCCACAACGGGAUAUGAUUGCCAGAGACUCUGCCAUUGCUUUGACAGGUUUGAGGUCUGCGCUACUUGUUUCGAUGAGGCGGAGUAUGCAGUGAAGGAUAUCAUCCGGAAAUAAUGAGAUCCGAUCGAUCUGAUCGGAACAAGGGGUUUUGUUCGGGGCAGCUUCUUUUCCAUCGGAAUUGGGUUAGCGGUGAUAGUUGAAGUUUAGGUUAUGAUCAGAAAGAGAUCCGAUUUGUGGCGGCGCGAAAGUUUGAAUUAGAAGAGCUAUGGGUUGGGCCUCGUUAGCUUAAAUAGUUUAGGCCUUGAAUUUUGUAAAAUGGGCUUUUAUUUGGGACCUUCAGUCUUUAGCAAGUUGAACGCACUCCAGCCCAACAUCGCGUCGUCCACUCACAAUGUGGCCGUCAAUAAUCAACGGUGUAGAUCUAGCACACCCUUACUCGUCACUUACGUGAAAAGAUAAGUUCCGUCACUAAAGCUCUAUGUAAAACCCAUCAACCAAAACAUCAAAUAAAGGAGAUGAUAUAGUCUUAACUUAAUCAAUACACCGUGGUUGUCCACCUAUACGGGCUAUACACCCAUUAAUACGGUGCUGUUCAAAUCAGUUUUAUCGACAAUAGAGCACACGCAUCUCGAUACUUUUCUGUCUUUCUCUUUCACAUUCUCUAUAUGCUUAUACCGAUGAUAUGCAUUAUGACUACCUUUCCUUAUCCGCUUUUUUAAUUAGGUAUUUUUGCUGAAAACUCACUCCUAAAUAUAUAUCCAAAGUUGAAAAAAGCAAUCAAUUUACUCAACUUGACCCAACCAUCAAACCAUACAUAUAUAUUAUUGCUCCGAACUAACCUCCUAUAUCGAACAACAUUAUAUCUUGAUUCUCUGAUCAUUCGUUCUCGUUCAACACUAAAUCCAAGUCCAUCCUCUACUUACAACAUAAAACGUAAGAACAUCAAGCAUCAUUAUAGCACGGUGAGUAAAUAAAAUCAUACUCAAUUAAAUUAACUCGAAGACUGCAUAUAAACAAUAUCUUGCUAGUCAAAGGCCGGAAAACUAGGAUUGCAUCAUCGGCUCAACGUCGUCUGGCUAUGUUGUCUGUCAGGGUUCGCCGUGAAAUCUUUGAUGUCGUGGCGGAAGCAGAAUCGAAGUGGCACGAUUUCCCAGAUUUAAUGGAUAUGAUUGCCGGCUUUUUUUGAAAUUCCUAGGUGAGGUAUUGGGAACUGAGAUACCGACAAAAUCAGUUUAUAGAUUCGGGGUAAUAUUAAUAUAUGACGACACGUUCAAAAUUCAAUAAGCUCAUAGCAGAACAAAUCAAAGUCAGCACCUCCAUCAAAUUAACCGACUUGCCCCCACUCCUUCAUUAAAUAUAUACUCGAUGGCAUCGAGUUAUGACUCAAAACUAAGACAUACAUACCAUACAAAAUUAUUUUGAACGACAUUUUGGUUCGUAUCGUUCAAUCGGAUGAUAUAAUAUUUAUUUGAUUUGGAGAAUUGAUUGGAUAAGUUUGUUUGAUGAACUUCCUGAAGAGUGUUAAGAGGUUGGAUAUGUAACGGCUAAGUAUUUGUAGGAAAGAUUAGAAAAUAAAUAACUAAAUAAGUACGAGGAAUGUCAUUAAGACAGUAUUUAUGUGAGUGGUUGGGUGUACUUAGUGAUCUCUUAAACAAAAAAUUAAGCUUUUUUAUAGGUGCAUCGAGUUUGAACACAUCAUUUUAGGGUUUUCAAAAUUUGUCUAAGAUUUUUUGCGGUUGGUUGAGAGUUUCAAUCAAUAACAAACAUUCUCUAUAUAUACUUGGGCCAAGAGCAUAAUUAAAUCAAAAAUUAUAUAAACAUAAAUCAAAACCCAAAUUACAAAAAAUAACAAUUACCAAAACUUAGUUGCGCCGCAAAUCCUAUCCAGCGCACUCCACAUUUCAAAACUUACAUUUAUUUCACGAAACCAAUUUUUUCUUUGAACAACCAAAUUUGUGUAAUUUCAAUUUAGUCACUCAAUUAGUUUAUAAAGUGCGGUUAAUUGAAACUCGAUGUUUGGUGCGUUAAGCUAACAUCAGUUUGUUACGAAAUUGGCUAGAAUGCACUAAAUCAGUUAAAAUUUGAGCUCAAUCCGUAUCUGGGCUAAACUCGAGUUAACCAUAACAUAUUGUAAAUAUAAGCAAUCGUUCAAUUUAAAAUCUGUUUCGGUUAACCCGAGUUCAGCUCAGAUACGGAUUGAGCUUAAAUUUUAACUGGUUUAGUACAUUUUAACCAAUUUCGGAACCAAUUAACGUUAACCUAAUGCACUGAAAAUUAAGUUUCAGUUAACCACACUUCAUAAACUAAUUGAGUGACUAAAUUGCAAUUAUAUAGUAGUUUGGAUGAUAAAGUAUAAAUCUGAGUUUGAUGAAGUAAAUCAAAUAAUGCAACUUUUGAGAUGUGGAGUGUACCGUAAACGUUACAGUGCACAGUGCAACGUAAGUUUCAGUAAUUGUAAUUUUUUGUAAUUUUGAUUUCGACUUGAUUGUUUAUGUAAUUUUCGAUUUAAUCGUGUCUAUAAAAAGAAUUUCUUCCUUGGGCCAGACCCAUUUGAUCCUUAUAUUAUUAUGAGAAAAAUUAAUAUAUUUUUCAUAUGCGGCCGGAUGCAUUUCAAAUUCGAUACAAUUCCGCCGAGUGUAGUAAAUACUUUUGGAUCUGCCGCUGCAUGUUCCUAAACUACCGGUUGGCAUCAGGUCGAAUCGGUUGGCGAGAUAAUGCGAAUCAUGUGGACUGGAGGAGCUCAACGAUCGUAGUCAAUCUGCAAUGCAAACCACUGGAAACGAUACCAGCAGGCAUUAAUCAUUUAAUUGUAUGACUCGGACGACCCAAGUUUACUUUUUGCUAUGUCAUAAUGUAAUUGAAUUGAUUUAAUGCGCCAACUGUGUACGCGUAGACUAUUGUCCUCAAGCGUUGCUCCACAAAGACUCGGUCCCAAUAGUUUUGAUGAUUUUUUACCGCAUUAUAUACUUUCUGCUGCUUGGCGUUAACGUAUUCAUGAAUUUUUUUACAUAGUAAAAUACCAUACAUAUACGGUAUUCAUAUAGUUUUAUACAUAAUUUUUAAUAUAAUAAUACGAGAAUGCAUUUAGAAUUCUAACAAUCUGGUUAAGUGCAUUAAACAAUUUCGAAUUCAAAGCUCUAGUGGAUUCUGGGGAUCUUUGCAUGGUAUCCGUCUGUUGCUAAGCUGGCAAGACUGUGCUUGGGAAAUUAAAUUAAGGAAGGCGUUUGGUAGCUGCUAGCUAAGCUAGUAAGUGAGUGGUAACCAGUAGUAGGAGAGUUGGUAGUUAUUAAAAAUUAUUUGCUAGUUUGUUCCUGAAUCCAGCCAAGUAAACGACCACAGUUUUCAACGUCACUCACUAACACCAAAAGCUAGAGGAAAAAUAAUUAGUUAUAAUAAAUUAUGUUCAGAAUUCAAAAGGAAAUGUAGAGAGCUUAGCAGUUAGCAGAAAAUUUUAGAAAAUAAGUAAAUAUAAAUAAUUUUUUUUUGUAAGAAGUUUCAAUAAAAUUAAAAUAAAAUUUCAGUAAAAUCAAAAUAAAAUCUUAAUAAAUUCAAAAUAACAUAUUCUGAGACAUGUGAUAUUAAUUUUUCGACCACUCAUUUACUGAUAUGCGACGUGUUUACGCAAUCCAUAUCAAUAGUAUGAUCUACGGUGGGUAUUUUUCGAAAAUUUAAAAUUUGGAACCGUUCAGCUUUCGGUGACGAGAUGGGCAAACCUAGACAUCAAAGGAGGAGCCAAAAUACGCAUUUAAUCGCUGCCUAACAAAUACCACACAAAUACCUCAGCAUCGUUUCCAACACACGCUUGCCCAUUACUACGCAAAUAAUAAUAAUAAUAAUAAUAAUAAAUAAAUAAAUAGGAGACCAGNNNNNNNNNNNNNNNNNNNNNNNNNNNNNNNNNACAUCUGCUGUUAUAUCUCAUUCCCAGAAGGGCACUUAGUAUUGCAGCUGCAAUGCUAAAAUGCGUGCAGCGAUGCUGAGAAGGGAAGGCCCCAGACCACAGCAAAAGGAUGCAACUCCUUCCUCUCGCAGCAUUUUCACAGCAAUCCGGAUCAUUAGCAAAAAUUUUAAAUCGAUUAAUAUUUGACAUGCAUGUUAGAAAUGACUAAAAACUUAAGUUUCGUUAUGAUCACCCCUUUAAAUAAUGGUCAAAUUAAUUUAAAAAUUAAUUUUACUUAAUUUUGUUUUAACGAGUUAAAAAAUAUUUUUUUAAAUUCAUUUUUAAAUUAAUUUAAUUACUUUAUACAUGCCUGAUGAAAACAAGCCUAUUGGCUUCUUCAUGUUGGUAAACGUAAGUUACUUUAUAAAGAUUGAUGAUGCAAUUGUUCAAAACCCAAUUUGUGAUGGCAAAAAUGGAUAUUAAGCCACCAUUCAACCAUGUAUAAAUAUAAGCGAAUCCCAGUUCCCUGUGUUUCAACAUCUUCAUACUCCACACUUUGAAUGAAGAAGAAGAUCAGAACAACACUCAAAACACUUAACCAACUCUUCCCAUUUCACCAUCCAAUCAUCUCUACAGAUCAUUGCUUCCUAAUCUAAUCUCAACUUUUCACCAACAAUGGCCUUCAAACUCAUCCUCCUUCUCCUCCUUCCCCUGAUCUUCCUGUUAACCCAAACCGCCGAUUCCGAACCCACCAACAAAAUCAUCCACCGAUCAGAUCCGCCGUCUCCGGUGCCGGAGAGAUCCCCAACUUCCAAUAUCCCGCCAGAAGCAGCAGCAGUAGGGGCAGCUGAGGCGCCUAAAGAAGCGGCGGCGGAGGCAGAGUUGGAGGCGAAGGAGGAGGAGAAGGAGCAGAGGAAGCGGCACAUUGACAAAUCAGUAGCCGGCGGCGGAGUCAUACUCGGCGGCCUAAUUACCGCCGUCUGUAUGGGGGGCCGUCUGUAUGGCGGUCUUCUGCUACAUCCGGGUCACCAGAAAGAGAGACGACGAGCUACUACCCAUUGUCAUCGCCAAUCGGAAGUCGACCGAUGCGCUUGCUGUGACCAAGCUGCAGCAGCAAUCCAUUGUCGUUUCAUCGUCACCGGCGCCGGCGCCGGUUUCUGCUUAGUGAUGAUUAAUUACUUCCUAUGUCCUCAUAGAUUAUGAUUUAAUAGCGUUAGUUAGGUGGGCUUUUUUGGGGGAUUAACAGUUAUGAUUAUUCUUUGAUUAGUGUGUAAUUCGUGUGACUGUAUAAACAUCUAAAUACUAUCCUCUGGUUCUCUCUGUUCUCUCCUUUUUCUGAGAUUCCAUCACAAAGUUUUGUUAAUGGCGGUGUUGGAAGAAGCUGUUCUACCAACACUUUGAUGAUUCGUCGUUUUAUGAAAGACCAAUGAAUUCAAAAGUUUGAUGGGAUUGGAUCUCUGGACUCUUUGUAAAGGUCUUGUUUUUUCUUUGUCCCCAAUGGGUUUAAGUUCAAGCGCAGAUUAAGCCACUAAUUAAGGCACAUACGUGGCUGAUUAUUUAUUUUCUGGCACAUCAAUGGGUUGGAUCCAUGUAUUUUUACAAAGUCGGUUCACGAUGCCGCACGGUUUGUCGGGAAUUUUAAGAUAAUUUCGGGAAAUUUAGGGUGAUAAGUUCAAAACUCGUGGCAUUAUAAGAUGAUAGUGGAGCGAACUAUUGUUCUCGACACAAAACAAUACAACACGUCAGAUGUACUAAUAUCGUCUUAGGACAUGUCUGAUACUUCUCUCUAUUUUACCGUCUUAAUAAGUGUUUAGCUCUCAUGUAUUCACUCCCUUACUAUACACCAUUUUCCCGUGAGGUUCCCAAUCAGACAAAUCCAAACAAAGACAAAUCACAUAUAUGGAUCACCUAAUGAAUAUCGGACAUGUAUUGUCUCGCCAAUUUUAGAGGGACGAAACGGUUAUCAACAGAUAGAUGUUAGAUCGAGUAUCUUGAGUUUGAAUCCGAAAUGGUUGGUCUUUGACAUGAGAGUUGUUGCCCCAAUUUGUUUGGCAAUUUGAGAGUAAUGUUCAAAUACAAUGCACAAAUUGAGACAAAACCUAAAAUGCCAACCAACUAGUUGGGAUCUCAAUACCCACAUUAAUUUAAGGCUAAUUAAAUCACUCUUCACUUCUCUUUCCCACCGUCCAAUAUUGAAUGCCAUUAAAAAAUAUUCAGGCAGUCGGCUUAAGCCCGAAUAUUGGGCCAAGAGGCCCAACUCAGCCGCACAAACGAUCCAGUUAUUAUACAGUUACUCUGUAUCAUUUUCUUUCCCUCUUGAAAUCCCACAUCAAUUUCAACAAUUCGUCGUCUUCUUCCUCAUCGAUCUUUCUCAAGAACUAAAGAACCAAACUCAAAGCUCACUCAGUCGCCGUAACAAUGGAGUCAUUCUUCCAGAGAUGGAAAGCGACUAUCUACUUCUCAAUAUCUACAGUCCUAGCCUUCACCGCCUUCUCCAUAGGACUCCACUCGACCGUCACUCCACUCCACCACCCGUCACCUCCUUCCUUUGUUCCUUCCCUCCCACCGCUGGCGGCGAAUAUCCGCAGCCUCUCCACCAACGCCACGCUCUAUCUCCAAAAAUCUGGAUUCUCAGUCGCAGAAUCCCUCCUACUGGCAUACCCUGAGACAUUCUUCUCCACCGCACACUCCACCAUCUUCGCUGUCAAAGACUCCAUCUUGUCCCCCGCCGACGCCGCAUCUCCGUCCUCUGGCGCCUCCGGCGCUCCCCGGUUGCUUCUGAAGCAGCUCCUUCUGUACCAUACGUCUCCUCUCAGCCUCCCCAUGUCGGAGAUUCUCAAACUCCCUCCUGGUACGUGCCUCCCGACUCUUGUCGACGGCAAGACCCUAGUCGUCACCAAGAUCGACGUCGAGAACCGAGCCGCAGAGAUCAACGGCGUCAAGAUUUCCCAUCCGGACGUCAUCAUUGAAGGUUCGGUUGUCAUCCACGGCGUCCGCGAGCAAUUCUCGUCCAUGGAAACCGGCGACGGCAGCGGUCUUAUCUCUCCAACCACUUGCGACGCCGCCGCUGGGAGGAACUCGAGCUUACUCACGGACUCCGUCGACUUCAGGAAUAUCGUCCACUGGUCCAAGAUCGUGCGAUCACUCAGCUUAAAGGGGUUCGUCUCAUUCGCCGUCGGAUUGAACUCUGUACUCGACGGGAUUCGCAAAGACUACAAGGACUUGAAAUCGGUGACCGUAUUCAGUCCACCGGAUUUCUCCGUCGGUUCUUCUUCCGCUCCGAUGAUGGACAGAGUCGUCAGAAUUCACAUCGUGCCACGGAGGAUUUCCUACGAAGAGCUCAUGAACUUAACCAACACGACGUCGUCUCUGAAGACUCUGCUGUCUGGUCAUAAUCUGGAGGUGAAACUUGAGCCAGCGAAGAAUAAUGCUACAGCACGAUUGACCGUCAAUGCAGUCGAGAUUCUCAGGCCUGAGAUUUUCAAGUCUGAUAAGUUCGUUGUCCAUGCGAUCUCGAAACCUCUCUGGAUCGGUAAGGUUUCGAAGAAGAAAUCUAGUAGUUAGUAGCUAUGAACGAAGAAGAAAUCUAGUAGUUAGUAGCUAUGAACGAAGAACAAUCUGCUGUAGAUUGUAGAAAGUAGUCCCAUUUUCUGAACUAACCUCAGUGUUAAGCUGCUAAUCUUCUUCUGUUAUGAAGAUGACUGUAAGUGGCUUGCUAGUUGCUAGUAUGAUCAGAUACAAAGAUGUUUCAAUCUGUUGCAAAUAGCCAUCUCAACUGGCAUUUCCUAAUUCAACUAGGAUCCACUAAAAUGCAGCAAACACUCCGAAUCCAACUUUUUCUGAUUAGUAUAUGUACUAUGCAGUAUCAAAUGAACAUUGCACUGGCGAAACACCAUCCUCUACGUUUGAAACUAUCAAUGGUGAGCAUGCUUCAAUCUCUAGUUACACUAUAGGAUAUGCAUCUGCUGCAUCAAACAGAUUUAGAGCUGUAGUUCUUUUGCUAGCAAGUAGUUCAGUCAUCAGCUAAGAGUAUUUAAUCAUGAACAUUCAGUAGAGGUCCACUAAGUUCUAUCAGAUAAACCAAUUACAUAAUUAUCCUAACUGUUCAAUGUUCAUCACAAAUCAUGCUAUACAAACUAACAUAUAUGGAAGAAGCUGAGCAAUUACCAGCAGAGGAAAAAGGACUUCACGAAGUAGAAGAAUCGUUGAUGACUCUCAAGAGAAUUCUGGUCAUCUUCUUUCCAAUCAGUGUAACAUUCUUCACAUCGACGAAUUUGGACCUCUGAAACAGUCCAACAACAUCAUCCACAGUCUCCUUCCCACACUCUUCCACGGCGACAACGCAGUACCCACGGCUAACCACUGUCCUCUCCAUCUCGGAAACGAAUCUCCGCGGAAACAACGCCUCCGCCAAACGAGCAGUGAAGGCAAUGUCGAAAACGUCGUCGAAGAACGGCAAGUUCAUCGGAUCUGCCUUUCUCACCAGCGGCAGGGACUCGACGAGCUCGACUCCGAUCACGUCCUCCACUCCGAUUUGUUGCAGCGCCAUUACCUCGUGGCCGGCGCCGGCGGCGAGGCAGAGGAAUCGGGAGUGGUUGUGUAUAAGCUCCGAGGAUUGGAGAUCGGAGAAGAAUUUGGUGAAGGAAGUGAGCUGAGAGGUCCAGGCUUUGGAGGACCAUAGGCGGAGAUUCUUCUUCUCCCGGGAGAGGUACGGACGGUGGAGGGAGGAGUCGCAGGUGGAGGAAGGGAAUCUCUGGUGAGGCUUUGUGAUUGGGGUUUCCGGCGGCAUGCAGGUUUCGGGGAUUUGGAGGUAGGUGAUAAGGAGGGUUAGGGUCGCGAUUGCAAUGCUAGCGAUUGAGACCCUGUUGAGCAAACUCUCUAUGCGUUUCUCCAUGGAUUGUUUGGAGGGGGGUGGAUCGGAGGAGUUGUUUAUUUCGCCAUUGAUGACAUUUGAGGAGGACCAAUGCUAAGGUGGCAAUGAUAUGGGAAAAACGCAGAAACCUAUAGAAACGCAUCGAAACGUCUCGGAUUUGCGGGACGAAACCCGAAACGCCACAGCGGAGGGCGGGCUGAGUCUGAAAUUCUAAACUUCGCAAUGAUAAGGUUGGGGAUGCUUAUAUUAUAUCCAUUACCCAUCCACUUUUUUUUUUGCUGUUAUUAACUAUAACCAUCUCCAUUUUCAUUUUGAUGAUAGAUUUAGUUUUAUCAUCAUAUCCACUUGGUUACGAUUAUAAUCGCUUCCAACUAUUAUUCACGGUUAUGUAAAAAAAAAUAUAAAAUAUAAAUAAAAAUGCAUACACAUUCAUUCAUAUAAAAAAUCCAAUUCGAAACCAGAAAUGACAUUUGAUAAAAUUAACUACGACAUUCAUGAUUAAUUUAUGGGCUUCACCAUUUGAAAUGUUAGUGGACAUUACGUAUCACCAUUACUGCUAAUUAUGUGGGUGUUAUUGGGAUGGACGAUAAAUAUUAUUAGGUUUCAUCUAUUUUUUAAUGCGGGUAAAUAAAGGUUAAGUUGCGGGUCGGUGAUGGUUAUGGGUUUGGUUAUGGUGAUGGUGCGGUUACUAUGAAAUCCAUAACCUAAUCUUACCCAUUUUUAGCGGUUAACAAUUAUGACCGUAAUCACCAAAUACCCAAUCAACGUGAUGAAUAACCGUCAAACUUGGUCAAGUUACGAUCUGUUGAACGAUUAAGCGUGAAGAUUGUAAAAACUAAGAAAUCCUCAAAAUGAAAAAAAAAUGAAAAAAAUGUAAAAUGUUUCGGAUUCACCCAACCAAAUUUAAAACGCAAAAGAUUGACGAAAAAGAGAUAUUUCCAAUACGUAUUAUAUGGGGUAUGUCGUGGUAUAUAUUGACUUUUUAACGAUACUUUGAUUCGGGCUGUAUUUUUCUAUAAUUCAUUAAUUUUAAAUCAGGGAUUAUAAUUUGUCCGUGGGCUGUGCGGGUCUGGCCCAAAAUUUCGCGGCAAAAUCUAAUUUGGGUCCGCCGAAAUUUCAAAGAGCUUCAAAACGCGGCUCGGAGCUGAGUCCAACCCAAACAACCUUUUAAAAAAAGAAACCGACUUUCAAAACGACAUAAUUUAAAGAGACAGAGAGAGCGAGGCAUACGGCGGCGGUGGUGCCGGCGAGCUGGAGCUGAACGGAGGAGAUGAUCUGAGGGAGCUAGCUGGCCGCCUUGCCCUUGUGCUUGAACAUGUUGGGAGGCUGCAGAAGCUGGUUGCAUAUCGGUCGGCAGAAAAGGGCCCAGAGAGACUUCCCUUUGCUAAAUCUAUAGCUUGUCUGGCUUUUUGGUGGGCUAUCAGAUUGACGGAAGAGGAUUUACAGAGAGCAAUUCAUGGAAUUGCAUUGCAGCGACGCAAAGGAGAUAAUUGGGAGAUUUGGAAAUCCAGUCCAGAAAUACUCUACAGAAGCAGAACAAGGAUCGGAAAUCAGAAUCAAAGGGACGAUGGCUAAAUCGUUCAAGUAUGAACAUUCUACAGAACCGAUUCGGAUUGCGAUUCUUGGUCGGAGUCGGGCCGAUUGGUAAAAACACGGUUAAGCAAGUGUGCAACUCUUAACAUGGUUAAUCCAAUCCCUUCUAUUAUCAUAGAAAAACAUUAUAUAUACAGUGACCAUCUGUAGUUUCUUUCUUGCAGCAUCGUUAUGACUAUCUAUUUUCGGUCUACGCUACAAUAUAAUUCGAGAUAAGCACACAGCUCGGAAGUUUUCUCUCACUGUUUCGGAAGGUACAACCUUUUUUAUAUUUCGAUUCUUGUCAACGGCGCCUCGCAAUUUCGCCAACUCGCAGGAUUGCUCGGUUAUCAGCUUGUACGUCGAGGCUCUUUCCCACGGUACGAUGCCGAAAUCGUCGUUUGCUGUCUUCCAUGUGGUCGACAAAGAGCUGCCACAUCAAGGCACCUGCACCAGAGUGCUUUCUCUUUGAGGAUUUUAUAUGAUGUCGUAUAUGGUCUUGUAGAGCCAGUUCGCGCUGGGACGGCUGGAAGUCCUUGUUGAUGUUGUAGAGCCCGAAUUCGGUGAAGAGAACCGGCUUGUUUAGCUCUUUGUGGCUGUCUUCGAUGUGCGACCGCAUCCACUUGGAGACGAAUGUCAGUUUUUCUUCGAAUGAUUGAUGAGCAGCCCUAAAAGCCAGAAAGUUCAAAUAAGCAUUACGUGUGUUACAAGUUAAUAAGUUAUGACAGUAUAUACAGCUAUUUUAGCUCAUCCUUCCCACUUGCAUUGCCACCUAACUGUAUAAGUUCCCGAGUAUCAUGCAUGGCAUGUAUCUGUGCCAGUUUCUGUCCAUCCAGAUGGAAACCGGACCAUCAUUAGCUAGCAAAUCAACAGUUUCAUACAUACUGGGGAAUGCUAAACUCACUUUACCAUCAGAAGAAGAAGAAAAACAGAGCAAAGCAGAAACAGAGAGACUAAUAAUGGCGAACAGUCACCAACUGAAACUCCUCCAUAGUUUCCAAGUUCCCCCAUCACCUCCAACUUCCACCGCCGUCCUCCCACUGGCGUGUCUCGACUACCCAUGGCUAUUCUGCAAGCCGAUGCAGCGCCUCUUCCUGUACGAUUUCCCUCACCCAACUCAUCCUUUCACUCAGACCAUCCUCCGGGAGCUUCAACGAUCACUCUCCGCGGCGCUUCACUACUUCUUCCCUCUUGCCUGAAAACUCGUCUCCCCUCCGCCGCCUUACCUCCCUUACCUUUCCUUCUCCGACGGCGACUCUGUUCCUCUCAUCGUGGCAGAGUCGACGGCUGACUUUGAUCGGCUAAUCGGGAAUCAGCCGAUAAAGCCCACAUUUUCCGGGGAGAGGGAUCUCCGUUGGCGCCCAAUUCGCCCACGUCGUCUCCGACGAAGUGUCGUUUCAUCACGUUUUGAAAAUGUGGGCUUUUCUUUGCAAGAACACAUCAUCGGAGGAUUUGGCUGAGGCUCUUCCGUUGCCGUCUCACGAGAGGGAAAGGGAAAUCAUCCGGCGAGCUUAUCCGGGUCUCGAAGCGGCCCUCGCCAGCCAGUGGUUCGGACUCGGGUCGGGUUGGGACUUUGAUUCCGGUCGAGCUGAUAUCUUAACCGGAAGCGAUAAGGUUCGGUUGACUCUCGUGAUAACCCGGCCGAUGAUCGAACGGAUAAAACUGUGGAUCCGGGGAACCAAUCCAACACUAUUUCAUUUAUCUGCUUUCGUGGUGACGUCAUCUCUGGUCUGGACUCUACUCAUCAAAUCCGUAGCGAUCGGAGAGGAAUUCGACGGUCCGGAAACGCUCUACCACCUCAAUUUCGUCGCCGACUGCCGGCGCUGGUUAGGACUGGACGGAUUAUCACCAUCCUACUUCGGGAACUGCCUAGCACAUUAUUACGUGUCGAUGAAAAGAGGAGAGGCGGCGACGGAGGAAGCGAUUCGGGAGAAGGUGGGAGAGAUGACCGACGGCGGCGGCGGAGGGGUGUUGUUGACGGGGGCGGAGAGGUGGGUGCCGAAGUGGAAUGAGCUGGGGGAAGGAGGGAGGAUGGUUACGAUAGCUGGGUCGCCGAAAUUGAGAGCUUACGAGACGGAUUUCGGGUGAGGGAAGCCGAGGAAGAGCGAGGUGGUUCAUUUGGCCGACGGCAAGGGGAUUAUAGCGCUGGGCGAUAGCGGAGAUGGUUGCGGCGGCGUUGAGGUCGGGUUUGCUAGGGAGAGGAGUGAGAUGGAGGUUUUCAGCGGGUUGUUUCAAGAGUUUCUCGGCCAAGUUUGAACGAUUCGGCGUCGUUUAACUCUUUGUCUGGUCAGAAUAAUGGUGGACUAAUAAGUACUAGUUGAAAUUUAAAAAAUAGUCGGUAAUUAAAUGGUUAACAUUGAGUAUAUUUAUUGAGAAGGUAAUUUGAUUGUUGGUUACAUAUUUGAUUUUGGUUACAAUUUAUUAUUUGGAUUUCAUUUUAUCUCUUUUAGUGAUCCUACAUUGUAUUUGUUGUAUAAUUUUUUUGGAAUUUCUUAAACUCGUUUGAAUAUAAAUGAAAGAUAAGAAUUGUUGUGCCUAGACUUACGAAAAAAACACAAAUUCAUUCAAUCAUUCCUGAACCAAAUUAAACCGAACUUUACUAUAUUCAAACUUUACUGGUUACUUUUAAAAUCGAACAAAACCAAAACCAAAUCGAUUUAAAUCACAUACAAACCUUUCUCAAACCGAACGAUGAGUUAAUCACAAACGGCUUGACUCGUCAAUAUCCUAAUAUUCAUUAUCCAAACAUCAAAUGGUAAAAGCAUUUAUUAGUGAUGAAAUAGUAACAUAAUAAAGUUGCAAUAUAAGGACUAAACCGAGAUAAUACAAAAUACCGUUGAUGAUUAAUUGGGGGUACGGAAACUUUGAUUGCUCAAAAUGUAAAUACUGCAAACUUUUUUUUGAGAACUUUUAAUUGAAAGCUCUAAAAACCCUACAACCUCGCCGUCCGGAGUUGGAGCAGAGACGAAACGAUUCAGAGAUGGGCAGCGGAAGAAGAUUAAGCAGAGGCGGCGGUAAUGGCGGACGGAGGAACCAAUCACAGCUCAGGCAAGACGUGGAAGCGUGCCGGAAGAAAGACUCCACCGCCGACGAUAUCGUCCAACUUCUCCGCCAGCAGUCCCCCAUCUACGGCCGGAUGAAACAGCAAGUCCUAGCUAGAAACGUCCGCCAAAUCAUCGAACCUCCACCGUCACAGUUCCGUAAGAAAAUCCGGAGACCUUCGGAAGAAGAAGAGGAGGAAGAAGACGAUUAUGACGAAGGACGAUCUUCCGUCCGUCUUAAAAAGAAGAAGAGGACCCGUGAGAGCGAGGAAGAGUUGCAGCUGCAGGAGAAGGAGGAUAAGCGUUUGAGAAAAUAUAGCGCCAAUCGAUCUUCGGAGUCGGACUCGUCAGAAUCUGAUUCGAAUUCGGAGUCGGAUUCUCAAUCGACGCCGUCUUCCACGUCGGAGGAUGGAGAGCCUGUGUUCGACGUGACUAAGUCGUUGCUGCGACAAAGUUACACGCCGGAGAAGAACGUUGAGGUGGAGCUAGCCAGUAGUUCCAAGGAUAAGGUGGCGAUGCUGAAUGGAAGCAAUGGAGGUAAAGGUAAAGGAGGGGAAAGGGUUAGGAAAUCGGAAGGUAAAGCCUUGAGCAGCGAUAGCAUUGAGGUUAAGGGUGGUAAAGAAGGGCCGAGGUUCAAGGAUUUUGGAGGGUUGAAGACAGUGCUGCACGAAUUGGAGACUGAAGUGUUGAUGCCACUUUACCAUCCACAGCUGUUGCAACGCCUUGGUGUGAGGCCAGUUAGUGGGAUUUUGCUUCAUGGUCCGCCAGGUUGUGGGAAGACUAAACUGGCUCACGCCAUUGCUAAUGAGACUGGAGUUCCUUUCUACAAGAUUUCAGCUACUGAGGCUGUCUCUGGAGUGUCAGGUAUUGAUUUCCAGCUUAUCCUCUUUGCUUCCUUACUGAAUUGAUGUUAUUGAGUUUCGGAUAGACUAUAGGUGAAGUAUCGUGCUAUGUUUAAGCUGGUUGAAUUGUGAAUUAUGAAUGGGCAGGUGCGUCGGAGGAGUAUAUUAGAGAGCUUUUCUCCAAAGCAUAUAGGACAGCACCUUCGAUCAUUUUCAUUGACGAAAUCGAUGCCAUUGGUUCCAAGAGGGAAAAUCUACAGAGAGAGAUGGAGCGAAGAAUCGUGACACAGUUGAUGACUUGCAUGGACGAAUACCAUAAACUUGUGGAACCAGCUGAUGAUAAUUCUAAGUCUAAGUCAGACAGCUCUGAGCAGCGAGGUGGGUAUGUUCUGGUAAUUGCAGCUACUAACAGGCCUGAUUCCAUUGAUUCUGCUCUAAGAAGGCCGGGAAGAUUUGAUCGGGAAAUUAUGUUGGGUGUCCCGGACAAGGAUGCCAGGGUUCACAUUCUUUCGGUGCUUACCAGAAAAUGCACGCUCGAGGGUUCAUUGGAUCUUUCGCAUAUAGCUAGACUUACCCCUGGAUUUGUCGGUGCUGAUUUAGACGCCCUAUGUAGCAAAGCAGGAAACCUCGCCUUGUGGAGGAUUGCUGCAUCGAGGAGAUCCACGUUAUUAUCUGAAGAACUUUCAUUACCUGCAGAACUUAGGGAGGACCAAUGUAUGGACUGGUGGAAAACACCUUGGUCAGCCGAGGAGAUUGAAAAGCUUGCCAUCACAAUGGCUGAUUUUGAGGUAUGGACAUUGUGGAGCUAGAUGUUAUUUAUUCUUUCCUUAUUAACUUCUAUUUCUGCUGCCUAUCUUUACUGGGUUUCUCUCCUCUGCAGCAAGCAGCUAAGUUGGUUCAACCAUCAUUAACAAGAGAAGGAUUCUCUUCUAUUCCCAAUGUAACUUGGGAAGAUGUUGGAGGACUUCAAAGCAUUAGAAAUGAGUUGGAGAGUUAUGUAGUCCAGUGCAUUAAAAAUCCAAUACUCUAUCAGGUAUACUUGACAGUGCCACACUCCCUAUAACUUCUUAUCGACUGCUAAGCUUGUUAAUAGUAGGUUUUGAGGUCAAAGCUUUGUAAUGUUUAACUUCAAAGAAUCGUUAUCUCAAAUGGCUCACUAACAUCAUGGUAUGAUGAUUAUAGCAUUUUGGAGUGUCCUCAAAGACCGGGAUUUUGCUUUUCGGCCCUCCUGGCUGUGGCAAGACACUGAUUGCCAAGGCUGCCGCUAAUGAAGCAGGUGCUAACUUUAUUCACGUCAAGGUUAGUAAUAACUCCGUAGUUCUUUCAGCUCAUUUGGUAGUAUAGUUUUUGUUCAAUUGGAAUAGUUGAAACUUACUGUUUCCUAUUUCGUGUUUGUAUAGGGUCCAGAGCUACUUAAUAAGUACGUUGGAGAAAGUGAGCUGGCAGUUCGAAAUCUAUUUACCCGUGCAAGGCAUUGCUUACCUUGUAUUAUCUUCAUCGACGAGGUAUGAAGAUUUUCUUUUCCAUUAUGUGAUCUAAGACAUGGAUGAUUAAAGAAAGUACCAUGUUCCAUUCGUGUUUCCUGUAGGUGGAUGCCUUGACGACAACCCGUGGGAGAGAAGGCGGAUGGGUUGUCGAACGGCCAUUAAACCAGUUGCUUAUAGAGCUGGACGGUGCAGACCAGCGGCAAGGUGUUUUCGUGAUUGGUGCAACCAACAGGCCUGAAGUUAUGGACUCGGCUAUCCUGAGGCCUGGCAGGUUAGGCAACCACGUUCUAGUUCCUCUCCCAAGUGCCGAGGAUCGCGGCCUGAUCUUGAAGGCUCUCGCUAGGGGGAAGCCUCUCGAUCCGAGCGUAGACUUAGCUGCGAUAGGAAAGAUGGAAGCUUGCGAAAAGUUAAGCGGGGCGGAUCUCAACAAGCUGGUUCGUUUUUCGCACUCUUCUUUAUUCGUACCGUUAUUCCCUGGGAUGAGGUGUUAUAUAUAACUUAUGUAACUUCAAAAUUUUUAUGGCCAGAUGGAAGAUGCUGCGAUGAUAGCUCUUCAGGAGGCGAUGAAAAUGGGGAGUACAGACGAGGAGAUGAUGUCGCUCUGCAGAAUCAAAAUGAGUCAUCUCGAGCAGGCGCUGAAGCAGACCUCACCGUCCGUUACUAGCAUGGUAAACAUACUAUGAUUCACAUCUUAAAAUACCAUUCCCCUUCAAUUUGUUAACGUCUCAUCAAGUCUUCAUUCUGGAUUGUGUUGCAGCAAGUUAAGUUCUACGAGACCUGGUCGAAACAAUUCAGUGGAAGAUCGUAGCCUCUCGACUAGGGAUUGGUACUUCUUCUUCUUUUCGUUGUGCAGUAUAUGUUUCAUGGAAAUGCUAACGAUCUCCACCUCGUACCGGUGAUUCACGUUCGAGUGAGCAAAAUUUUGGCCGUUGAACGUUUCUGCAACCUAGUUCUUCCCUCUGGACUCGAGUAAUACGUCGUCGUUGUUCCUUUUAAUCUUCCUUAAACCAAUAAGUUCACAUUGAUGUGGAAAAAUUUGUGUUGUUGUGACAUUAAACUGUUUAUUAUCUUUGUUAAGUUUCGAAAGAAUCUUCGUCUUGUCUUCUUAACUUCUUUGCAUCGUUUCAAUUUGAUCGGAUGUCUCAAGGGACAUGAAUAUUGGCCUUGUGGAUAAUUGUGAUUGCUUUUAAUCAUAAAUACAUCCCCAGUUCAAAAAAUAUGGGUCGGAAUUGGUUAGAAUACUGAUCGUAAAUGUGUUGCUAUCGCCUAUUUCGUCAAUUGAAUUGGAUCAUAUUCAACCUUACACUGACAAUUUUCCAAAACUUGAGUUUAAACUGUUCUUUCAAGAAUAUUUGAUAAAAUUGAAGCGAUACAGAAAAAAUCAACAUGCUCUGUGCACAAGGAUAAUAUAUAUAGAUCGUGAGUUGGAACAUUUAAUCCAAUCAUCCAAAUUGGACUACAAAUCGAUUACCAUAACUAAUUUCGAAUUUGAUCCUACGAACGAACUUCCCGCCAUACUAUACAGACUUCUCGUCGUUGACCACCAGUUUUUCUCCUAAACAAUAUUUUGACUUUUUAAAUUUUUCACAUUUUAGUCUCCUCCCCCGAUAAAGAUUCAUAAUCGCAAUUUUUUUUUCAAUUUAGUAUUCGUUUUCCCGAUCCGCCUCCGUACAAAAUACGGUAAUGAAGCAGAAAACUCGACAACAAACUGGAGAGAAAUCCUCGUUGAAUCUUUCAAACAACCCAACAAACACAAAAGAAAUCACAAUCAAUGGAUCGAAUUCCCACAAAAGAAUCCAUCUUUCUUCCUCUCCGAUGGAAACCCGAUCAGCCAAACGGAAAAAGGCAGCAAAUUUGCUUCGCCGCCGCCGACUCUACCGAUGAAACACAGCGUAUCGACAUGAUCACCGACCACCCCGACGCCAUCCUCCACCACAUCUUGUCUUACCUCCCGAUCAAAUCCAUCGCCCAAACCUCCAACCUCUCCAAACGAUGGCGGAUACUCUGGUACUCCUUCCCGGAUCUCGAUUUUACCGCCACCGCCGCCGGGACGAUUCCAGACUGGAUACGGAUAAAAAAAGCAUGCCGGAAAGCUAUAAACUGUUAAAUUAAUCAGGAUUAAUCCAACGGAUAAGAUUAAAUUACUCAAACAUAGGUGAUUUGUGUGAUGGGCCCAAUUUCUUUUGACAAGAAGAGAUUGUUCUCAUUAAUUAGUACUCAAUAGAGUGUCAAGUACAUCAUUAAGCUAGUUUGGAGGUACUACAUCCACAAUACGUACAAAAUCGGGAAAAAAAUUACCAACGUAUUUAAUUAGUAGACUACACAUGCGUACAAUACCACCGAAGUCUGUAUCGGGCACAAUUAAUAGCACUAAACCGUCAUGAAUGGUAAAUUUCGUGAUUUUUUCUGUUUAUAUAUUCGGUUUCUUAAGAUGAUUAACGGAUAAGGUGGACCACCAACAAGUGUGAUGUGAUUCGUGAAGUAGACACUGGGCUUACACUAUUCAGGCCUAAAUGUAUCUCAUGGAUUGGGCUCAACUCGUUCUCUCUGAUAAGCCCACAUAUCAGUUAAUCAGUGGACCAUUGUUUGAGACCAGGGGCCCAUUUGGGUAACUUGGGACUGAAGCAACUUGACACAACCCUAGAGUUCAGCAGCUCAACCAAUGGUCCAUGCUGCUUCACACACCUUGGAGUCUUGUACUGAUUAAUGGAAGCACCUAAUUGGCUGAUGGCAUAGUCCAUGACUUUGUCAAACGUUCCAUUCUCAACCACCCUUAUUUCCAGCGGACCGAUGGAGUUGUCCGAAACUCGGCCCUGCCUGUAAACGCUGUUCAGGGAUUCCUCGACCUCGAGGCAACAUUCCUCGAGAACUGAAUCCCGAGGAGCUUUGUGCUUCGUCGACUCGUCGUUGUUGUCAAUCUCCCAGUACAUGACGUAAUGUCCAGGAAUCGACGAUGUCUCCGCGUAGCUUGUGUAUUCGACGAGAGAUGCGUUUAGUGGCGAGAGGUGUUUGGUUGCAGCUUUCGUCACCGCUUCUUGCAGCUCCACUUCGUUGGUCUUGUCAGAAUCGAUGCUUAGAACGACGUUCUUCCUGCAUACGAAUGUGAAUUGUGGCGCCUUGUUCUUGAACCCCGCGACUCUGAGAAUGUCUCCCACUCUAUACCGAUACAAACCUUUUUGAAAAAAAUUAAAGUAUAAAUGUCAUCACCACAUUAUAUCAACCAGUACAUUUCAAUAACUCGAGUAUUAAUAAAAAAUAUAUGCAAUUAACUCCUCUAUUACCUGCAUAAGUCGUGACAACGAGUUCGUACUCUUUACCAAGCUGAACAUUGACCAGAUCAACCAACCGGUCUUGUGUGCUAUCAUUGCCAUUCAUCAUUAACGAACUGGUACUAAAUCCAACGGUUCGGUCAACGGGUAAGAACUCAAAAUAAGCCAUGGUCGGAACAAGUGUGUAGGAUACUUCACUAGGCUUACACAAAGGAUUCAAGUUAAGCCCAAAGUAACACUCAGAGGAAGCAUACAUGGAGCAAACAAGUGGCAAACCAUCCCCAUAAUGCUCAAGUGUAGGGAUGUAUUGUGACAUUGCUCCAGUCACAAUCACAUCAAUGUACUUAGCAUUAGGCCAAACCCUAGCAAUAAUCCCUCUCCAAGACACUUCCCUCCUACAUUCCCCUUCCACGAAAUCGGCAAGUUCAGGGUUCGGCCCCACCAGAACCCUAGACACGGCCGAUCUGACUCCAGGGUCAAUAAUAACCCCGGAGUCAACGGUCCCACUCCUGAUGUCAUUGCACAAAACCUGCCAAUUCUUUUCGAAAAACUUGAUCGCCCGGAUAAACCCGGAUGCAAAAACCGACCCGACUCGGACCACUUCCAUGUUUCGAGCCAGGCCGCAGAGCAGCUGGGAGUACAUGCUCUGGUGAGAGUCCGGGCAGAGGAUCGAUUCCGUCGGGCUCGUGUAGUUGGUGUAGGAAUCUUCCGAAGACCGAAUCGAGUUGGCGAAAUGCUGGCUCUUGUAGUAGCUGGUUAGAACCGGGCGAGCAGGUAAACCGGCUGGAGUUAUGGAUUCUGAUUUGACGAAGAGGAAGUACAUUCCUUUGCCGGCGGUGGAUAAACCAGGGAGGAAUUGGUUCAUAACCGGCAUUAGUAAGCUGUAGAGCUGUGAUUUCCUCUCCAUCUCUUCGUUGAUCGUCGGCAUCAGCUUCCUCUCCCCCGCCGACGUCCCUGAACUGCAAGAUUUAAUAAAUGAUUCACCAUUUAAUAUUUGAUAGAAAUAUUUUUCAUUCAAGUUCGACUUGAUGCAUGUUUGAAUCUUGGUUAAGCCUAUGCAUAUACCUGGUCAAGAAUUCGGAGAUGGGUCUGGAGCAGAGGAUGGGAGAAGUGUCACCAUUGGCGAUUCGGUCGAUAUCCGGCUUGAUAUCCUCGUACGUGACUAGAGGAAUCAGCUUCUUGAAAGUGGCCUUGUCGAUGAUGCUUCCAUGCCUUUGCAAGUACUCAACGCCGGAGUUUCUGGCGAGGAUUUCGGCGAGGACUCGAGUCUGGACUUCAUCGGCAUUGUUAGUGACUUGCUCGAUGAACUCUAGGGCUCUUUUGUUCUUAUGAUCAGAAGGGUUGCGUUCAUUAGUUGACGAAUUACCUUCAGCCAUGGCUGCUGGUUGGAAGAGUAGAAAGUGGUUGGAAAUGAUGUGUGUUUGGGAUGCAGAGCACUCUGAAUGUUGGUAUAUAUAGAGACAAUUUUGUUAUCAUAUAUAUUAAAUUAAUUGAUUCGGUUAGAUCAAAGUUCGAACCGAAAUUUCACCAUGAACAAUCUGAAUUGGCGUCUAAAAUUAAUUGUGGAUUAUCUCUCAAUAAUUUAAUUUGUGGAUGUAAAGAACUGUUAUAUUUUAAUAAUUCGAAUUAUUAAAAAAGAGUUAAUGAUGAAGGUUAUCCCAUUUUUUAACCAUCGAAACACAUGCAAUAAGCAUUUGGUUUGACAAAAUGCUACCAUCUCAAAUUCUGAUAGCCAUAAUCUGUUGCACAAUACUUACACCAUGUCAACCUCAGACUUUUUUUAGAAUUUCCAUUUAUGGGGCGUGUUAAUGAAUAAUAUAAUAUCAAAGUUGGGCCAUUUCACAAUAAUGUAUUCGAAUUAUUAGGAUACACAAUAAUUUAUAAUCAUCGAUUGGUUAUAAAUUUAAUACCAUACUCUUUAUAAAAAAAACAAAUUAAUAUCAUACAUAUCAUAUGUGUAAUUUAAUUUAUCGAGUUGAACCAUUUUGAAUUGGCUAGACCCACUACAAAUGUGAUUUUUUUUAAAAACAAGAUGUAACAAUUAUCGAUAUAUAUACUAACUAGCUAGCUAGCAAAAUGAGGAUCCCAAAACCCACUUUUUGAGGGAUUAGAUUAGCUAACAAUAAUUAAUAAUAUUGUGUACAGCUUUGAGGGAAGAUUUUGGGAAACCAAAUCAACAUAUAUAAGAAGCUCUAUAAGAAUACAAAUAUAUAAUUGGGGGGACCUUUUUGCAAUUUUUAAUAGUUAUAGUUCAAACUUUCAUGAAUCAUGAUUCGAAAAAUAUAGUGUGUGGAAAUCACAUAAAUUUCGUCAUUUUUUGAUUAUAUUUGCGUGUUUUUUAUAGUGUCUCCUAAAAAAUAACUUAUAUAAUUAUCUUAUAGUAUUUCGGGUUCGAGUUCGCUAUACAAGAGUUUCUGGGUUUCCUUGCAAAUUUGUAAAAGGUUUAGAUUUCUCUACAACUAAUUGAACGGAGGCGCAAACCGUGUAUCCAAGAAUACCUGAACCGGACACACUAAUCUGACCGACCAGAGCCAUAAUAUCAUUAAAAUAAAACUAACAUCAACUUGCAUAAUCUGUCUCGCAACUUAUUUGUCUUAGAUGAUUAAUCAAUAAUCUUUUGAUGUAACCCGUCAUGUAAAUGCGGGAUUGUGUUUAAUAAAGUUCUUUUCUUAAUUAAAUGGUGUGAUUUAGAUAAUAAUUAUUCAAAAAAGUAGGGGAACUUUGCAGUGUUUCCCACUCCAAUCAUCGCCUAGCCGUUGACUGAAUGUCGCAUUAAACUCCUUUCAUUUGCUGCCAUAUGGCUUUGAUCCAUUUGUUACCCUCCGGACUCCGGAUUCGGUACUAAUGACCUUCUUUUAGCUCUAAAGACCGGCCGAUUCUCUAAGUAUGCAAUGUCGAGGCAUGAUUUUGUCCAAAUCGAUCUUAAUUCGUGAUAUAAGACUUCCAUUCCUCGAUUUUAUAACUCAUGUCUCCUUAACCCGAAAUCAAAUCCAAAGAUUUAGUUUAGAGACUAAGUGCCGCACAUAUAAAAAAAUUUGAAAAGGGGUAGUAGACCACUUUCCUUGUAACAAGUUGCAUGGAAAAAGGGGAUCACGUUUCUUGAACGGGAGAAAUGCAAAUUAGAGUUCUUGUGCUUGAAGAAGCCAUUUUUAAUUAAAUGGUCCCAAGCAACUUCAAUUUGGAAAAAAAAUGGAACACCCAACUUGAACCUUGAGAAUUACAAUAACAACUUAUUAACAAAACCUUGAGUAAUUAAUUCAUCUCUUUCACCAAAACUUUUAAUAAGAUUCCCGCCUUCUCUUCGUAGACUAGUCGAUUUCAAAGUCGAAAAUUACGUUAAUCAUUUAUAUUAUUUCUCAUAUAUUCCAGUGUUAUUCUUCUUUUAUUUCUCGUAUAUUUCGGUGUUAUUCUCCUUUUAUCAAAUAUACCUACAAUGUGUGAAUGAGAUGAGAUAGAAAGCAAGAAACUGUAGAGAAGAGAGAAAAUAAAAUAAAAAAGCCAAAAUAUAUAUUACAUAUAUACAGUGGUUCUACAAACAGAGAUUUACAGAAGAAAACAAAGAAAAAACAGAGCAAUACAUUAUACAUCUCAUCUUGUUGUUUACACUCGUGGGGAGCAAAGACAAGACAUUUGAAACCUCACUUUGUCUAAUUUGCAGUUUCUUCUCUAAUCUCUAUCUAUCUGUGUAUAUAUGUCGGCCAAUAUUUGUGGCGAUUGACCAUUGUUGGGCCGAUCAAUGCUCUGAAGAUAUUUUUAGAACAAUUCGGGGUAUUCUCCUUUCAUUGUUUCUGAAUUCGAAUUCGCAACUUACAUCUUUGAAGAUGGAAUGCAUAAACUUACGAACAAAAAUUCAUCAUAGUGUCAUCCGCAAACAGAAUAUUGGGCCAACUAGGGGUUCUGGUAGUAGGCGACUGCAUGUCAAUCACAAUGAUAAAUGAAGGUUAGGCAUGUUCUAAGGAAAAGAGUCAGACCGAAUUUUAACCCUGGGCGUGGAAGCUAGCUAGAAGAGCGCCCCGUAAAUGUGAUCAUAAAAAAACUAGCUAGUAAGUAGUAACAUGUGAAAUAAGAAGCGGUAUAAAUGUAAGUAACGCAACAUUUAAGUCUAAGUAGAAUAGCGUAAUUGCUAGCGUUGUGUGCCGGUGAUUCAAAAAUAUCGAGUUUGAAUCCAGUUACAUCGAACACCUUUGUAUUUCUUAUCUCGAAAAAAAAAGUAAAGUCUAGAAUCACAUCGGGGAGUUCGUGGAUGGGAAAUGUAACACUGUCGAUGUCGAAAAGUCAGGGAAAUCUCAUAUGUUCGCAGAGAGGGCGUAGUACAACAGUGUACUUAGUCUCAUCAUCGGUGAAAAAAAGAGAUCAUAGCAGCAAAUUGUAGUACGACAAUGCACAUGUUAAAUGUCGUCAACUGCUACGCCAACAUAGCAAAAAUAGGGCCACUGUUAAACGCUUUACUGAGUGAAAACUUUAAUCUGUGGCAUUCCAAUUGUCGGAAGAAAGAACAGAUUUUUCCAUCCAAUCUGUCAGUUCAUGCAUGAAAACUUAUGAUAUUUGUUUGCCAUAAGCAAACAGUUUGAUUAAUUUUCUGUUUGUACAUGGUUUAGUAUUUACUCCUACUCUACCUAGCUACUUCAUCGGUAUAUAGACUAUACGUCUACAACGUCUUCGAUAAACGAUUUUUUUUCUUACAAUAUGUACACCUUAUAGUCUACCGGUAAAGUUGUUACACGUAAAUAAAACAUCAUACACGUAAAGAAAACUAAUCUACCCUAACUAUGUAAUAUAUGGAUUUUGAAACUAUUUGCGAUGAUAUUUAGAGAUUUCGCGACCAAAUAGAUAUCACAAAAUGUAUAUUCACUCACAGAUAAUCAAACAGUAUAGCACACUUCAUCAAGUUAACAAAAUCCCCUCAUGUGGAAUGAAAUACUAAAUUAUAUUUAUCUCCUCCAAUAAUAAACUUAACAAAUAAUUACACAUACCUUUAAACUCACCAAUCAAGCGAUUAUGAUUUCCGAAUCCACCAUAAUUUACACUGAUAUUUUUCCCUCUCCACGGUUGAUCCAGUUUGUGCCACGAUACAAUGCAUUCGGACUUGUGGAAUUAACUUUCUGCAAAUCUAUUCUUGUAUCGAGUUUGGGUGACAUAGUGGGGGGCAGAAGUUACUGUAAUGAUCACUGCAAAAACUACCCACUUCAGUUCAAAGUACAAACAUACGAAAUAGUCAACCGGUAGUAAAAGUUAAUUUUUAGUUUGCUACUUGUUUCAAAUCAACCAAACUAUUGUUCAUGAUGGGUGGAUGAACAUGGAUGGCAUGAAUUUCCAAUGGAAACAGUGAUUUCUAUUGACUAUUUUGUAUUGCUAGGUAGGUAGGAAUUAUACUUAGUUGCAGCUACGUUAUGGAUAGAACAGUUCGUGGCUCAAACAGUUAGGCUUGUCGAUCCAUUGCUCAAAUUAAAUUGUAACAUUUGAAAGUUCUAUAUAUGUGGUUUUCUUUUGAAUUGGUGUGUAAUGAUUUGUAUGGUAACAAUUAAAAAUUUAAACUAAAAUUUUUGUAAUAAAAAAAAUAUUCAACNNNNNNNNNNNNNNNNNNNNNNNNNNNNNNNNNNNNNNNNNNNNNNNNNNNNNNNNNNNNNNNNNNNNNNNNNNNNNNNNNNNNNNNNNNNNNNNNNNNNNNNNNNNNNNNNNNNNNNNNNNNNNNNNNNNNNNNNNNNNNNNNNNNNNNNNNNNNNNNNNNNNNNNNNNNNNNNNNNNNNNNNNNNNNNNNNNNNNNNNNNNNNNNNNNNNNNNNNNNNNNNNNNNNNNNNNNNNNNNNNNNNNNNNNNNNNNNNNNNNNNNNNNNNNNNNNNNNNNNNNNNNNNNNNNNNNNNNNNNNNNNNNNNNNNNNNNNNNNNNNNNNNNNNNNNNNNNNNNNNNNNNNNNNNNNNNNNNNNNNNNNNNNNNNNNNNNNNNNNNNNNNNNNNNNNNNNNNNNNNNNNNNNNNNNNNNNNNNNNNNNNNNNNNNNNNNNNNNNNNNNNNNACAAACCCUAAAUUGCCCACUUUCUUGUACCCCUAAAGCAAAUAAUCCAAAAGUGGGAGGUCCUUUUGGAGGGGUAGGCAAAUUGGAUAAAAUAGUAAUGAUUAUAAUUAUUAUGUGUCCUUUUGUGUAAUCCCCCUUCACUCAUUUAAAUGAAUCUAUGAUAAGUCUUGUCACUUGGAUUAUAUGCAUUAUAAGGGUGGCAUUAAUAACAAUCUAUCCCAAUCCAUCCACAUUUGUGUUACGAAAUUUUCGACCCGACAUGUUCCAUCUAAUUUAACCUAUUUUGAACAAGUAAUAUUUCAUCUGUAACGAAUAUAAUUAUAUAAAUACAGGAAUAAGUAAUACCUUUUUUGACCCAUCCCAUUAUGCCUUGUAUACACUAUUUAUAGUAAAUAUUCAUAAAGAAUACAUGUUACUUAUUUGUUUGUAGUUUUAAAAGUAAUUGUCUUAAUGGAUGCACAUUCUCAUUCCAAUUCACGCAUGGACUAAAAUAUCUUCUCUAAACUCAAUUUUUCAUAGAGCACAUAUGAAUAUUAAGAUACUUUUAUCCGAUUAUGACUCAUUUCAUUACUACAAUGGCUACAUUUUUGCGAUUAUUUUCGAGUGCCCAUCUCAUUUGGGUGUAUAUUAGUUUUGACUAUUUCAGUUUUUAUUUCCUUUUCCUUUGAUGUAUCACUUGUAUUACAUAAAAUUAGAGCUAAGUUGGAUAUAGUUUUUGGUUUGGUUAGUUUAUUUUUUUUUUGGGUGUGAAUGUUAGUUUGAUUAAAUUGAGGUUGGAUUAAAAAAAAUUGUUUAUGCUCAAAUUUUCCUGAAUGGGCUUAGGCCUUUUCCAUUUGACAUAACCGGAUCCGACUGAAGGGCCAAACAAAAAUUGAGCUUACAUGCCCAUAGGGGAGAGCCAACCCAUGAAAAUGUAGGCCCAAGAACCCAUUAGCCUUCUAUACAACUAUACAUACCAUUUAUAAAUUUGCCUUCGGGGCAAAUAGCAUUCUCGGAAAUCGUUAACAGAAUUUUAAUUUUGAAGUGAGUUUGAAAACACACCGGACAAAAUUCAAAAAUACACUGGAAAUUUUUUUUCAAUUUUGCUAAUUGUACAUCGUUUGUCACUUUAAAAUCAUCGUCAGAGAGCCUUGUAAGGAUAUUGGUCUUGAGGCGUAUCAGGCAGAUGGUGAAGCAUUCAUCAAUACUCUCUAACGGCUACCAUGACAUUUGCCUUCUAUAGUGUCUCGCAACCGAAACCAAGGUGUCACGUUCGGACCUCCUAUAGGAUACUUGUAUGUGAAGUAAUAUGUUAUGCCUCUUUAUCCAUAGUGUCCACACACAAACAAUAAAUUAGUACGAUGCACAACUUCCUGGAAGAAGUGAGCUCUUUUAGCCUUUUGCACGAAUUCUAUAACGUGAAAAGGGAGAUUUUUGCAAACUUUCAGAGUAAUUUCAAGUCCACAUGCAAUGUUGAAGUCAUCUUCCUCACACCUUCCUCAUAUAUAUCUUUGCACUUAAUUGCACGCACGUCCUUCUUGUCAUAUUUAUUUCUCUACACUAAAUAUUCAAUGCAUGCACAUCUUUCCCAGCCAUUCUAAUAUUCUAUACACCUCGUGUGUUCUCAUUCUCGAUCGGUUCGGAUAAUGAUCAAUGAAAACUCAAAUCAUAAAUAAUUGUAUGUAUUUGUUACGAUUUCGUGAAAACUGUAUUUAGGCCUAGGGGAACCGCCCCACUUGAAAAAUACAUGAAUGAACCUCGAUUUUGGUAAAAACAAUAUACAAUGCUUCGAUUUGUAAUUUUAUCGCCUCGCAAAAAUAGUUAAUAUCCGAGUCUCACUAUUGAUCAACUCUUUCUACCGAAAAUUAUAUUAUGUUGUAGGAAAAUUAAUCAACUCGGAGAUUGUAAAAUGUCCACAAACAUGAAAUGCAGCUCAACACGAUUUCAAUGGACACAUUUUUCUUUAUUAUUCAACACCAGGCUCACUUUCUUAUAAUAAUCUUUGUGUCAUGCACUACUGGACCGCCAUUGAUUUGAAUAGCUUAUCAUUAUAAUAAAUUCAUUUUUCUUUGAGAUGACUGAUUAAAACUCACAUUAUUUAAAUUUUAGGGUUCCUACUUGGAAAUUUCCCAGAAAACAGAGGAUAAACCUCAAACUAUCCUGUAUGUGAACAUUUAGAAUGACUAAAUCCCCCAACCAGUCUAGUUAAAAACUUUCGACCUCCAGUCAGUCGGCUUUACGAAGAUUCGUCUCCAUACAAACUCGAUCAUCCAUUGACUUUCAAAACAUAAAGAAGUCAUCCUUAGAAGUAAGAUUGAAAAUUUAGCUUAAACCGUGUUCUAAAACCGAAUGAGUCGAGAAAAUGACUAAUCUACCACUUCGCCACAUAUAGACAAAGAAGAAACACUCGAAUUUCCAUCCCAUUGCGAAUUCCACCCAUAUAUUUCCAAUGUCAACAUUUUCCUCCCUUUCCUCUUGAUCAAAUUUUCAAACUUUCCACCAACCAAACAGAGCAAGAAGAACAAGAACAAUAGAGUUAGUCUGAGAGUCAACAAAAGAAUCAAAAUCUGAAUUCAUCUUCAAUAGCUUCUUCAAGCCAGUUCCUGGACUCCCUCAUCAACUCAGGGCUCAAUCUAAACAUCAAAACGCAGAACUCCAUCUGGUUCAAAACGCCGUCACCGUCAAGGUCCCCUUCUUUAACCAUCCCGUCGAGCUCCGCGUCGGACAAGUCCUGCAGGCCCAAAACGGCGGCGUUCCUCUUCAAGCUGGCGGGUGUAAUGACCUUUCUGUCCUUCUCCAUCAGCAACUGGAACCCGUUGCAAAGCUCCUUGAUCAGACCCUCCCCUCCCAGCUUGUCGGCCAUCACUGGUAGCAGGUCCUCGAAGUCCCCUGUUUUCGACGCCAUUGAUGAUGAAGAUCGGAUUUUUAAGAGAAAUGAGAAGUUGAUUUGGGUUUUGUGAAUUGGGUUUGGAGAAUUGAGGGGGAAUUUGGGUGUUUGUUAUAUAGUGGGGGAGGAAGAAGGGAGGAAGAAGAGAGGAAAUUGGGAGAAAUUUUGAAGGACAGGGACUGGUUUUUGAGCAGCAGAGGAAGUAAAUGAGCUGGUCGGGUUUUUUGUUUUUUAAUGGGUUGGAUUCUUUUCUCGAAGGAAAGAGUGGAAGAAGCAGCAGGGAGGGCAUUUAGGGGAAUUUGAUGUCGAUUUACGGUGACAAUCACUAAAUUGUAUCGUAGUUUAUGUAUGGUCAUCAAUACAUUUUUUGACGAUAAAUCAACAUCCAGGACACAAUCAUGUGGAUGAGCCAUCACAGAUUCUAAGGUUCUAUAAAAGAUGUGUUGAGUGGCAGUUGAUCAAUUAUCAUACACGUUUUAUGUAUGCACGCCUCAAAGGGCACUUUCGAUAUUUUUUGUGUUUUAGGUCCGGUAUUCGCUGUUCGAUUAACCUUCUAAUCUUACAUCCUCUUACUACUAUUUUCCUUCCACACCUUGUUUGGUACUUAGCUGAAUGGAAUCUUGAGGAGGACAUACCGAAAAAAGAUAUAGUAGGUAUGUGGUCCAAAAUCAAAUAAUUGAUGUACCAACUCGUUUAUCAUGGUGGAAUAAUUCUUGAUAAGUUUAUAUUAUUAGUUUAUUUCUGAUAAAAAAGGAAUGUAAAAAAUGCAUAUCGAGAAGAUUAAAUUACAAAUGUGAAUAAUUAAAUUGGCUAAGCUACAAAUCUAAUCUAUAGUAUGUAUGUAUAUUGACUAUAAAUUUUAUCGUGAAUGAAGUAUAUGUAUGUAUGAUGAGUAGAACACUAAUCAUAUACAUGUUUGAGACGAUUAAUGAUCAUAUUGUAUGAAGAAAAUUGAGGCAAAAAAUCAUUGAGUAUGGUAGAUUGUUAAAAUUUGGGAUGAGAAGUGGAUACAUAAGGUACAAGUUGACCACCUUUCUAGAAAUCUAGAUGACCUUUUUGUAAGUUAAUCAAAUAUGAGUGACCAUACUAGCUAUCUACCCUCUGUUAAACCCGUCUCAUACAAUUCCGUGCCCAGUUGGACUCCGGAGGAGAAUGCGUCAGAGCAAGGGGCAUUAUUGGAACUUUCUUCGUCUUCAAGGUGCCGGCUCGGGAACGGAUUAAACUAAUUUUCUUCUUUUUGUUUAAUUUUCUAUAAUUAAUUCGGCAAUGACUUGAUAAAUAACUAAGAUAGUUAGAGUUUGACAGAUUAAUCAGAAACUGAGUCAUUAAUUAAACCAAAUUAAGCAAAGCUGUUGCCUUUGAAGAACUCUGUAUUUCCAGUCUGUACACCCCUUUGACAAAUGCUUCACGAUUUUCACACUCUCCUACCUCCCAAGUACAUAUGAAACCACUGAGAAAUGGUCCAGUUUAGAUGAAUGUUCUCACUCUGUUCAUGUGCUUUGUAGGUGAUGCGUCCGGCCGUCCAAAGGAGCAUGGGGAUCAUUGUACAAGGGAAACAUACCAAUAUUCGUUGCAUGCACAUAUUCGUUUUAGGAUACCCAAAUUGGUUUUUUCCUCUCUUAAAAUUUUGAAGAAUAGGAUAACCCAAAUUGAUGUUUUCGGUCGGAUCACUAUUGCUUCACCCGAUCUAACGAAGAAGAAGAGUAGGUUUCUAAUUAAGUUGGUAAAACCGUAAAAUACUUGAUUGGACAUAGUUUGAGUAUUUCACCAUCUGAGUGUAUGAUUUCUAUUGAGAGCAACUAUAUGUUGAUGGUGAAGUGAUGGCAUUUUGUGUGGGCGUAAGGAAUAUGCAUAGGUCAUGGUUUUGGCACCACUCUAGAAAGGUUUUGCAGCAGCCGGCGGCUGUCGGGACUCGGGGAGAUAGUUGUAGCCAUUUUCCAUGCUAUGCACAUAAAAAUUAAUUUGAAUUUUUUUAUCAUUAAUAUAAGAUUAAGUAAAAUUAAUUUUGGUAUGGACCGCAAUUUUUUUUUGGCGCUAGUUCAUUUACUCAUAUAUCAUUUUUAGGCCCGUAGAAAAAUCCCGUGCAUUUAAGUUUGAAAGAAGCCGCUUAUCUUUGGAUUGGUUAGAAUUUAUAAAAAUGCAAUUUUUUCCGUCAGUAUAGCGUAUUUUGGAAUAUUUAUAGCGGCUUCUUUAUAUAAGCCUGUUUAUUCGCCGUUUCCUAAUUUGAACUUUUUUAAUUCAUUUGCUAAAAAAGGCCUUAAGAGAUUCUUAAGGGACAGAAUACUCCAUGUCAUAUAUGAUUGGUCCGAUAAUCGUGGUUACAUAGAUACCUAUUUUUAACUUUAUUUGAUCAGUAUUUAUCAAAGUUAUAACAACGAAAUUUAAUUUUUUAACCAUUUCCAACAUAUAUGUUAAAUAUUGGUCGAUUUGAUUUUUUUUUUUUUAAAUGGUCAAAUUUCCAUAGUAACAUACGAAAAUUGACCACUUUUAACAUGAUAAUUAAAAAAAUUCAAAUUGACUAAUAUUUAACAUGCACAUAAAAAAUAAUUAAAAAUUAAAAUUUUACUAAAUUAAUAAUAGUUAAAUAAAAGUAAAAAACAUUCAAUACCCUUAACAUUUUCCUUUGACUUUUAAUACGACUUUAAUACUCUUUUAAUAUGGCUUUAAUAUUCUUUUAAUAUGUGCUACGGUGGUCAAUUCACGUAUUUCCAUGGAAGUUAAGAAUUAGAAUUCAUUUUGACUAAAUUUUCAUCUCCCCAAGUGAAAUCACCAGCCCAAUUGGCCAAUUUGCACCCCAGACUUAAUUCAUCUCCUUCAUUUUCAAAGUGUGUCACUGUAAUUCUUCGUCCAACCUCGUGGAGCCUCCACUCCAGGGUAAAAAUCAACGUUCAAAGACAAUAUUAUCAAGCAACUAGUGAUGUAAUCUGUGACAUUCUUGGCCAAACAGAGGCUGCAAGUCAAAUAAUCGAGCGUUUAAACUGACAUGCGACACAAUGAAUCCCACUGUACACAAAUACAUGUACGAGUAAAGUAUAGACCUCCCGAAAAAAAGGCAUGCAAUUUACAAAUUAAGACGUAUGUAAGGUCACUUGAUAAAGGUGUAUGUAAGCUCACCAUUAUAGUUAAGUGUCGUUCAAUCUUAUCUAAAAAAAGUUGAAAUCUUGAUACUCACAAACACACCCCCCCCCUCAUUGGAAUCAAAUCUCCCAUUCAACGAACUCAACCCCUAUAAUUGGCAUGAAAUCCUUCAUGUCCCCUGAUUCAAGACCACAACCUUGCUCCUAGGAACACAGAAAACCAUUAAACAAAAACUCAUCUUUCUUCUUGGUUUAAUAAACCUUAAAUUAAACUUGCCAAAUCACAGCCUGUUCAGUCCCUAAUCCCACCAACAUAGGGAUUUCUCCUACUUCCCACAUGUUUCUGUCUUUUCCUGACACUUUGUUGGCAUGUCUUCUGGAGUUCAUACCACAAUAUCCCACUACUAAUCCUAACAUACCCUUUAGUUUAAAAUUGAUCCAACUUGUCUUGUAUCCUUAGCUGGUCCUUACCUUCUUUUGCCUCGAAAUUUCGAUCAAUUUACUUAAUGUCACUGCGACCUAUAUUUCGAUUGUCUUGAUAUCUCUACCUCUAGGUCGGAAACCCACUUGACUUAAGCUUCGUGCAACGGAAUCUAUCCGUUCGGUGUAUCUAUUUAUUAGCUUCCAUUGAACUCCAAGCUAUGAAAGUCUAUCUUCCUUGUAAUUCGGUUGUGAUCUCCAUAGUCCCAACGCUGGUAGAAGGAGCGGUGGCUGCAUGGUUCCUAACCGAAAAUGCAGGCUCUUUUGGAUGAGGAAGGCUCGAUGGAUCGCAUCCAAGCAUGAAUACGACAUCAGCCAUGGUGGGCCGGUCGCUAGGAUCCUCCUGCACGCACAACAACGCCACGAUCACACACCUCAUGAACUCGUUGGCGUUGCAUGUACCGGGCAAUGAUUGCUCCAUCACUUCCAUUACAUUGCCCUCCCUCCACUUCCCCCACACCUGAAACUAAAAUUAAAGUUCUGUAUUUGGCUUGCCAUAAAUGCUUAGAAAUCUAACUCAAUUUUCUCUUUACUUACAUGGCUUGAAAGGGAAAUGCCUUCUUCAUACUUGUAAAAGCCAGUGUUCUUCCUCCCAAUGAGGAUCUCAAGAACAACUAUUCCGAAGCUGAACACGUCGGAUUUCGUAGAGAAUUUCCCAUCUAAAGCAUAUUCUGGAGACAUGUAUCCGCUGCAAAACCACGAAAUAAUCCAAUUAAGCUCAGUUUUAAUGACAAACACACUGUUGUAGGUUGGGUCGGGUGGUGGCUUACUAAGUUCCAACAACUCGAACAGUGUCGACCUCAGUUUGCUUGGCUGCCACUAUCCUAGCCAUGCCAAAAUCCGAUAUCUUGGGGUUCAUCUCCUCGUCGAGAAGUACAUUACUCGUCUUCAAGUCCCGGUGGACAAUUGUCAGCCUCGAAUCACGGUGGAGGUAAAGCAUCCCUCGAGCAAUCCCCAUUAUGAUGUUGAACCUCACCUCCCAAUUCAGCAACACACUUCGACUCCGAUCUUAAAAAAACAGAACACUAAUUAACAACAUCCGCCCAUCAUGUCCAAAAAAUAGGUUGAUUGCGGGACAAGCUAGCUAGACCGACUCACUGAAGAUGAAGGAAUCCAAGCUCUUGUUAGGCAUGUACUCAUACAACAACAUCUUUUCACUCCCUUCAACGCAGAAUCCCAACAACCUCACCAGGUUCCUAUGCUGCAGCUUCGCGAUCAAAACGACUUCGUUCUUGAACUCUUCUAGCCCUUGUGUCGAACCACUUGAAAGCCUCUUCACAGCUAUCUCUUGCCCCCCUGGAAACAUCCCCUGCAUACCGUUCGAAAAUUUUGUUGGCCACAAAGUUCGAACCUAGCUUAAAGCCAAACCGCUAGCAAUCAUCUUUAGUUUGUUACCUUGUAAACAGGGCCGAAACCUCCCUGGCCAAGCUUGUUGUUGUGGCAGAAGAAGUCUGUAGCAGAUAGAAUGCAUUCCAGGUCGAAGAAUGGCACAUCUAUGUCUUUCUUAUCGUCUUCUCCGAAUUCGGUCGUGUUGAUCAAGAACUCUUUCACCCGGUUCUUCUUCUUCGCAUCUUUUCUUACUUUUCUUUUCAUCCAUCGCCGUAUGGCUAAGCUAAUGAUCAGAAUGAUCAGAACACCUCCAAGAAUUGGAAAGAUAAUGGAGUACAGUCUUCUUCUAUUUGAAACAUCUGCAUCAAGAAACUGAAGCAAAUGAUUGACCUGACUCAAUCCUAGUCAAUAUAAUAAUUUGAAUUUAUUAAAAGUCAACAACCAAAAAGACUAGUAACUAGUGAAUUGUGAUCUCAUUAAACCUCAUCAAUUUGUAACCCACUAAACUCGUAACUAACUAUGUUUGGCAAUAGGAAUCAUGAUUCUUAAGAAUGUGAAAUUGAAUAUAAUCUGGCCAAUUCGGCCGAUUGAGAGCCCACUCCUCCUUGUAUAACUCAAAGUCUUUGGAAAUAGAGCAGUUUUUGAUGUUUACAUUGUAGAAUGGUCGAAAUAUUACUAAAAUAAAUUACUCAUUUAAUAGACACAAUAGAGUAUUUUUUAUGUUUGCAUUGUAGAAUGGUCGAAAUAUAAUAAUUCAUAUAUGCAAAAAAUGGUAGUAUUCGAUAACAAUAAAACAAAUCUAACAUAAACAAUGAACCCUAUAAUUAAACAACACUAUAUAUAUCGGAUACCCAUGAUACGGAUACUAUCAUAUUCGUCCCCGCCUGUUAUCCACUCUAAACAGAUACCAAAUUUGCCAUACCCGUCAAUUAUCCAUAGAUAAGGUUCUACCCGCCCAAAUUAAAAAAAAAUUGGGUAGUUACGGAUUUUUGGAUUACAACUUAAUGUAAGCCUACAAAUUAUUGGUCUUCGUUUCUGGAUUAAUUCAUUAUUUAUUUAAGUUUGAACUCAGCCCAAGUAGAAACCCACUAAUCAUAAGCCCGGGCCACUAACUUAAUUAAUCCACAGUAGAGCAAAUCUAUAGGCAUCCAAGAAAUAUGGUUAAGUUACUGGGUUGAGCAGCUGUCGGGGCAAUUGCACUAGAAUCGCAUCCCGUUCCAUACGGUUGAUCAUCACAAAAGCAAGCGAACGAGCUCGUCGUAUCAUUAAAACCGCACUGCCCACCUGAGAAUCUACAGGUGGAGCACAAACUGUCGUUCGAUGUCCACUGCAUCCCAAAACCUCCAUCAAUCGUCUCUGUUAACCUCGCACCCGUCGGGUCCCUCUGGAGCGACUCCAUAGCCGUUAGCUUUACCGGGACCCUUACUUUUUUGCUGCAUUGUGCCAACCAGCCCCUGAUUGCGGCUUCAUAUCGUCCGAGUACGCUCUCCGUCGGCAGAAAGUCUCCCCCUUGUGACCGGUUGUUGGGGCAACUGAAGCUCCCCAAAUCCAGGGGGAUUAGAAUUCCGGAUGUUGGCAGCGAGCAACCGUAGUAAAGAUCCACAAAUUGGGUCUCGACCGUGAAGUUGAACAGAUUCUCGACCCCGGUGACGUUGCGGGGAUUCGAAGGACAGAGAUUUUGGUCGAAAUCGGUCUGCAAAAGCGUUAGGAUUUGGGAGGAGUUGUUAAUUUCGAGUAUCCGAUAAGAGAGACCGGAGAUAGAGAUGGUGGGAAUACGGUUUCGGCAAGUGAGAUUGAACUCUGGGAGGCCGCAAUAACUAGGACGGCCGGGUCCCCGAAAGGGAAAACCGAAACGUAAGUCUCCACAUUCGAUCUGCCUGCUGCAAUCCAAGUAUUCAUCGUCUUGCGCGGAGCUACUACUGAUUGUGAUCAAGAUUGAGAAGAUGAGAACGCAGGAGAAGGUGGAUGCAGGAUAACGGAAUAUCAUAUUUUUGACAGAGAAAGAUUGUAAGGAACUGGAAGAGGAGGAUGGAAAGUUCAAAGAUGGUUUUAUUUCCCAAUAGAACUUUGGUGUAAUUAGUUUAUUAAUGGAGGUGGUGAAGUUUGACAAAGAAACAGGGGGCGGGGAGAAGAAGAUUCUACUCUGGAAUUGGAGUCAAAGAAGAUUCUUGUCUUCUACCUGAUGAUAAUAUUUUUGUCUACAGGAAUUAGCCAUUAGGAAGGAAGAAAGGCAACUGAUCAGUAAAUUCCGCCAUUAUUCAAAGGUCCAUCAUGUUUGGCGAAGUCAAGCAGAGGAAAAACCCAUGAAUGUGAGAAUUGGGAAUAGUAAGAAGAGUAUAAAAUGGUGCGGGAAAAUUACCACGCCCCUAACUUCCAAUUUGUAAACGCGUCCAGGACACGGCGAAGAAGAGAAAAAAAAUGGAGACGACUGCAACACUGGUCCUUUUCAAAAUUAAAAAUAAAAGACCGCAACACUGGUCGUCUGGUACGUACAUCACAGUUUGAAAUUUUAAUAGUGUAUGAAGAAAUGUAAAAAUAGUAAGUGGGUGCAUACAAUUUGCAUUCGUUUCUAAAUUCUUCUUCCAUAUUAACCAUAAAAAACGAUCGAUAAAUGCAUCUACAAUUUACACAAUACAAAUAAUCUAGCUACAUAUAGAGUCGGUCGGCGUCAUUUCAAGACAACGCCAAGAUAAGGAAGCUUUGUUUCCAAAACGUCGGAGCAAAUAUGAGACAUCUUUCGGUAGAAAGACAAAAGCUCGGACAGCUGUUCCACCGACAUUUUCUCCACCACACUUCUCGCAACUUUCUCCCUUUCCUCGUUACGUUUCACUUUCUCUAUGUAACAACCUGCGUUCCUCACCGUCAUCUGCUUCAGCCUCUUCUCUUGCUGCACACUCAGCGCUCUAUUUGACUGCAACAUAAUAUUUCGUUAUAUUAUAUUAAUUAAAAGAUGCAUGCAUGUAAAUAAUAUUAAAAUAAAUAAAUUAUAAUAAUUACCUCAAGGAAUUCUGCUCCAGGUUUCAACUCUGAUUCUUUCGAUGGCUGUAUCUCCCCAGCUGAAUAAUACAUAUCCCUAGCAAUGGAGAAACUGCUUGCAGGACAAGCUAGCUAGACCGACUCACCGAAGAUGAAGGAAUCCAAGCUCUUGUUAGGCAUGUAUUCAUAAAGCAACAUCUUUUCACUCCCUUCAACGCAGAAUCCCAACAACCUCACCACAGGCUGUUGUUGUUGACCAGUAAGAAGAAUCGUUGGUUUUUGUUGUUGUUGUUGUUCCGUCGAGGACUUGGAGGUUGCCGUCCGGUGUGAAACAGAGGAACCCUGUCGAAUCGGGUAGGUCCACUAAUUUCUCGAUUCGCUACCCAGACGAUUACCAACGGGUGAUUCUUGUACCAUAUUCCUAAAUACCGAGAUGGAAUCUUGGUUCGGUUGGGAGUGAAGAAACCGAGCUGGAAUGCUCAGCCGUCGGAAGUUAGAGAUUCGCCGGCGCUGUCUCAGAGGAGGACGGCGGAUGAAGAAGUGGAUGAGGUGAAUGUUAUGGAUGGGGAAACAGGGGAUGGGAGGAAACAGAGGAACAGUAGUAGUGUGAGAAAGGUGAAGAUUUUGUUAAACUCCAUUGAUUUUCACUUUUCGAACUGAAAUGAUUCAGUCACUGAUUAAGCUCAUUUUUCAAUUGUUUUACCGACGCGUUUGAUGAUCCAAUUUGGCUGAUACUGGAUAUCAACAUCGCAAUUUCAAAAGCAUUUAGCUGUUACCCAUCAAAACGAUAUCUUUGUUUAUGUAUAUAAACUACCAAGCGGAAGAAACUUUGGUUCAACUGUGGCAGUUUCUUACGGGGGGGAUCUGGGCAAGGAAAAAUGGACAUGGUUGGUUUGACUAAACUUACCAGUGACAGGGAUGGCAAGUGAAAACGAAAGGUUAGUUUAGUUCAUUACGAUGGUAUAAAGUACUUCUGUCUGGAUGGACAAGAAGUCGAUAUGUCCGAGUGGUUAAGGAGACAGACUUGAAAUCUGUUGGGCUACGCCCGCGCAGGUUCGAACCCUGCUGUCGACGUUUUUUCGUAUCCAUAUUUUGCGCCGACAAUGAAUAAAAUCUUUCAGGUGAAUUUUUUUUUUGUUAAGACUUUCAGGUGAUUUAUUGUCCAUCUUUUGCGCCGACGAUAAAUAAAAUCUUUCAGGUGAUUUGUUGUCGGAACUUCGGGGCCUUUUAUCACACUUUUGUGGGCCUCUACAGCCCAGUAAAACCGUGGAUUGGGCUUUCAUAUCAACUGAAUUUUGGACUUGGGUGUAAUUCUGGUUAGAGGCUAGGCCUACCAAACUAAUAUAUGAUAAAUAGAGAAGUAGACAAUAUUAUUGAUUCUCAAUAAAUUGAAAGGUUUUGAAAUUGGACCAGAGUUUGAACUGGUGAGAGUAGAGUUAAAAAGAUUUUGAUGGGUUAAUUGGAGUUCAAUCAUUUUUUAAAUUUGGUUUAGACUGUUUUAAUUAUUAAUUAAAUAAAGAAAUAUAGUUAAGUCGGAUUGAAUAAUUUUUUGAUUGAGCCGGAUCAAACUAGUAGUAUGGAGAGUUUAAUAUCAUAAUUUAGUUUGUCAAAAAUAUAGUUAUUGAAUCAUUUUUUAAGAAGUUUCAAAUUAUAUAAAUGAUUUGAAGUUUUUAUUAAUAAAAUAAUUGAUAUCUAAUGUAUAAUUUACUUAAUUUAUGAUAAAAUGCUAUUUUUAGAUUUAAUUAGCUGUUGUGAUGUUUAUUAUUAUUAAUUAAAUACAUAUUUUAAUCAAAUUGAGAUAUUAGUAGAGAUGGUAUCAAGAGAUGGUAAUCAUUCAUCUUCUCUACUUGAAAGAUCAUGAUUUGAAUCUCACUCACAUUUUAAAAAAAUAAAAAGUAUAAUCAUAAAAAUUGGGUGUAACCAGUCGAACCGAUCAAAUUUCAUAGUCAAACCGAAUCAAUGCCUAAUUUUGACCAUUCUCAUCAACCGGCCACUCAAUUUCGACUCUUUGGCCGGUUUGCGGUAGAGAUUCUUAACGAUGAUAAAUUGUUAGUUUUGUUAGGAAUUGCGUUUGUCUUGAAUUUUCUUUUUAUAAUGCAUCAGGAUUGGGGUAUAAUCUCCACAUGACGUGUCAUGAUCGCUAGAUGUAACGGAAGGAUUUUGAACUAAUUGAGUGUUUGAACUAUGGAAAUAGACCCUAGAUUUGAGAGGAGGAACUCAUACAAAUUACCCAUUCUUGUCGUACCGCCUUGAUUAACCGAAUAACACCAUACCCACUCAGUCGGAGCCCAUUAAUGAUCUCACUCAACUAGAUUGUACAAAUCUCAUCACCGCAUAACCAUGAUCAAAUAGACUACUUCAGGUAAUCAUACAUUCAUGAUGGUACAAUUCAACCACCAUAUCCACAUCACUUUGAACUUGCAAAAAGGAAAAUACAAAUAAUUAGGUAAGUGGGUGAAUAAAGCCAUUCUUAUCCUUCACCGAAAUGAUGAUAAGCCCAGCGCCCUCACUGGGCCCGAAACUCAGCAUUACGUAAUGUGGAAAUGAAGUGAUAAAGAAGAAGCCAGAAUACUUCCUAUUAUAAAAAGUGGAAGGAUAGGGGUGAGGUUUCCGGGCCCACAGGGAUUGUACAUGUCACGUGAUAAAUCCCCUCCCCCACGUGGGAUCCGGCCCCGGUCCAAUAAGAGGAGGAUCAAAUCAAAAUACAAAUUCCACAUAAGCGUAUCAAAACAAACUCUCCCCACUGCUCUCUUGACACCUGGACUGCCGCGUCAGUAUUUGUGGGUAGUACUAAAUCCCAAAUAUCUCUUGCAUUUUAGUACCUGAAAGUAAUUUUUAGUUUAACCUCGACCGGCUUUAAACGAGAAUGACAGGCGAAUAAUAUAAAUUUACUUAGAACGUGAGGCGGACCUAUCAAUAACUGCUUAACACCUAUGUUUUGGAGCUCGUGGCGGUCAGCUAUGCUUGUUCGUGGUGCUUCUGACAGGGACAAUGAAAAAUCGAUAUCGAAGGUGAUGUGGAGCUGGUGAUAUCAAGACUCUCUCAACUGACUAUCCGCCGCAUGGCUGGAGGUGCCAUCAUCAUAGAGAUUCUGAUUUUUGUGAUGGUAUGCCUAUUUAGUUACAGGUUGUCCGACGGUUUAUAAAUAGAAUUGUCCACUUAGUAACACGACAUGAUAUUUCAUAUCUUUCUGAUUGUGUUGACGCUGAUCUUACAAUCUGAUUGAUUUUUAACUUGUUAUUUAUCUAUAUCUAUAUUAAUUUCUUUUGUAAUGAGCUACUUGUAAUAAAAAAAAAUUAUUAUAUAAGUAUUAAGAAAUUAACAUCAAGUUGAUUUCAUUGUUUCAAAUUAUAAUGGGUAGAAUUGUAGAUAAUAUUACUAAGACUAGUUUGAUAAUAUCUAAUAUUUUCCACCUAACUUAUCCAAAGUGGGAUAGCCUCCAAAAGAAAUAGGUGACGAAUUUCCUACCUAAUAAAUAAAGGUCCACAUGGUAAUCUAACUCAUGUAUUGAGUGACUAGAUUGUAAUUUUCAUCAUGCAAUAAAUUGACUGAAAUGUUAAAAGAAGUGAAAUUGGAUGACUGUAAUGUACUAAACUGAAACAAGAGAAUAAAAUAUCCGAGAAAAGGGAAAUCAAAUAAACACGAGGUAGAGGGACCGCACAAGAUGAGAGGUGGUGAUUAAGCAUUAACCAUCGGACACCUGUCAUCUUUAUCAACCACAACUUCCACGCGCCCCCACCGCCCAUUCCUCUCCCCGGCGGCGAUUGGCCGGAGCUUUGAUGAGCUUCAUUUUACCAUCUUACCCCCAUUCAUUGUAGGGAAUAUUCCCUUUCCCUGCAGAUUUUUUUACGGUUUAGGUUAAGUAAGUGGACGAAAUUGUUGGAUUCACCAACUCCAUCCUUGGCCACGAAUUCUUCUGCAACGUGUGUUUGCUUUCAUGGAGGUGAAAAAAAAGAUCCCCCCAAUAUCAUUACCAUGAAUUGACAUCUAAUGUCCUCAUUAAUUUGAUAUAAAAACGACAGCAGUUGUGACCGUUCAUUCUCGCCGACGAAUCAUAGCCAUUCAUUACUUCAAAUCCCCCAUGCUUUCUUUGAAAGGUUCCAACCAAGCCUUUUAAUAUUGUCUCUUUUACCCUUUCAUUUGUUUGAUAUUUACACCCAAAUUCGGUUGGUCAAAUACCACAGGCGGAUUAGAAGGCAAUUACGGUUUCGCCGGCGAUAAUAAUUAUAUUAAAGAUGAAAAAGUAUAAUAAUUAUAUUAAAGAUAAUAAUUGAUUUGUGUACAGUCAUAGAAUCUUUAUCUUCGUUGUAAGGGAAGCAUCAAAAUGAAAAGAAUAUCUUCAUUUCGAAAAAGUAAAUACUUAAAACAAAAAUGGUAGUUUCGUAAUAAAGACGAAAACCAAGGCUGUUCCCAUAAGUCCCUUCAACUUUGUCCCAUUUUAAAAAUCGUUUUUCUCCCCUGCCAUUCAUCUUCUUCUCUCAUUCUCUCUCCAUUCGCCACCACCACCGCCUUCCCACGUUUCUCUCGGAAAACAAUUUCAACUGCCGGAUCGAGAUUCUCUCUGAAACUAAUUCGUCGGAAGAUUUUUAACGAUCUGCCCGUCGUAGUCGAAUUGGAAGAAAAGAUGAAGAGGUGUGAGCUGUGCAAGUCUCUGGCGAGGACGUUCUGCGAGUCGGAUCAGGCGAGCCUCUGCUGGUCCUGCGAUUCGAAGGUCCACGGGGCUAAUUUCCUGGUGGCGCGUCACUCACGUACUUUGCUCUGUCAUUUCUGUCAGUGUCCAACUCCUUGGCAGGCCGCCGGUGCUAAGCUCGGUCAUACGGUGUCGUUUUGCUUGCGAUGCGCUAAUGGUAAUACUCAUGAAGCUGGGGGAGAGGAGGAGGAGGAUGAUGAAGAGGUAGAAAGUGGAAGUGAAGGAGAGGAGCUGGAGGAGGAAGAAGAAGAGGAUGAUGAUUUAGGAGAUAAUCAGGUAGUGCCGUGGUCGUCUUCCGAUUCGACGCCUCCGCCGCCGGCGGAGAGUUCGUCUUACUCGUCGGAUAGUGACGGUGGGGAAUCCGUCGUUUCGAUGAAGCGGGGGAGGGAAAGUUUAGAUCUUUGCUGUUUGCUUCAGGUGGGUUUGGCAAAUCAUUUCUAAUAAUUUCAUUUCCGAUUUUCAUCUCUCUUUCCAAAUUCUAAUCUCAGCAAUUAAAUUUAAAAAUGGCAGGACAAUAUCAGACGUCGAUCUCCGCCGGGGAGUCAAUAUCGCUCCGUUGAACCGACCCCGGUGAGGCCGAUGAAAACCCGGCGUAUGGAGCAAGCCGUACUCCGUCCCAGUUCAAGAUCCACGGCCAUUGUGUUGAGGCUGGAUCCGGUUAGUCAGAGUGGCGUCGGAUGCCGCGGAGGAGAGAUGGAAGCCGUUGAGGAAGGAGAUGGAGAUGAUUCGCCGGACAAUAGUAGCCGUACGAUAUAGGGAGUUGAUAAUUUUAUUCCUCCGUUUUGUAUGAAGGUAUCGUUUGGCGUUCCCAAAAUUGCUAACCAAAGAGAGAAUUGAAUUAUUGAAUCAGUUUGAUUUUUAAGUUUUGAGAUUUAAGUGUUGAUUAUUUUGUUUUAGGUGAAUGACAAUGAAAGAACGGGGAUUACGCGACAUUUGGUUGAUAGGUUAGGUUAAUCAGUCGUGUAAAUUGGGGGUUAAUUUGCCGUAAUGAAAAUGUAAUUAAUUACUCUUGGCCCUGAUUUUGUGAUUUGAAAUGGAUAAUAUAAAUUACUGUUACGUUAACAGUGGUAUUAAAGUGGGGUAAUUACUUAAUUAGACAACUUUUUAAGAACGGUCCAUCAAAACUUAGUUACAACCUCUCGUUGUUUGUCAUGUGCACACGCACUAAUUGCUUUUGUUGUCAUUAGUUAAAAUACUAACUAGAAAUCAUUCAACCACUGAUUCCAUCAGGUGGGAUGGCAACAUUUUAUUUUUAGAUAGUUAUACCUAAUGAACUGGUUUUAUACAUGUUUUCUUUAGUUGUGAUGAUUGAAAAUAUUAACGUGUUAACGUUCGCUAGUUUCUUUGUGCUACCAUGUUUAUCCGUUAUUAGUGGUAGUCAAAUUUAAAUAAGUAUUUGUUCGAUGAGAUAAGCAUUUUUUAUAAAACAAAUUAAUAAUAUACUUGGUUUUUACAUGACCUUCUAUCUUAAGAUAAUUAUACAAUAAAAAUAAAUUCAUAGCGUCGGAUUUUACAUUAAUCCUUGGCCGAAUACUUCCCUCACAGGGUACAUUUUGGUGUUAUCAUGACGAACACCAACAUCCAAAUGUCUGGGACUACUAGUUUGGAAGUUUUCUUUAUUCGUCCCCAAUAAUGUCUGAAGUUCGUACUCCCCUUGAAGCCGUCUAUCUCUCUAAUCUUCGGUCACAGGUUGAGAGUCUGAAAGCCCCACCCCGAAAAAUGACAUUGGCAGUGUUAUGGCUCUAUCUCUUUCCUCCUUCCCUUGAACCCAACCAUCCCGAUGAGAAAUCAGAUAUGACCCGAGAUGAACUAUUCUCCAAAGUUGUCGAUCAUUAAUGGAAACCUUUUUCAAAAGAGUAGCAGUAUGGUGUCAUUUUUCAAUGUAUGUGUGGGGGGGAGGGGAAUCUCGAGGCAUGGGGAAAUACAGUGGUUGGCGUUAGAGCCGUGAAAUUUGAUCUGUGAAAAGGUGGCCACAAACACAAAUCCUUGACAAACCACCUCGACCAAGAGAUCAAAACCCCCAAUUUGGGCAAAAGGUGGGUGGGGUUCUGAAUUCUGAGUUUUUCUAUGGGCGAUUUUUUUUGUCUUCUUUUCCAUCGUACACGCAUGCACCCAGCCCAUAGGAGGGUCAUGGGUUUCUUCUGUCUGCCAGUCAGUCAAAUUUUUGGUAGCUAAUGUCUACGUACACAGUACUCUCUCACUAGUUCAUCCAGAAGAAUCAGAGAUCGACAACAAGCUUGCUGUGUAGGGUACAAUCCUUUCUUAUCAUAAUUUUCAGAAUUCUUGGAUCAUUUACAGUUGAUUUCUGAUAAUUAGCCGGUUAUAUAUGAUCGCUUAUAUGUUAACUAACUACCUAACCGAGUGAUUGAAAAGGCCGGUUCUCUCUCGUAUUGUACUCUCCACACAACUCGAAUGUUAGAGAUGCAACGGUUCUCCACAUGGGUUCUUCAUUUCCAAACUUACUAAAGGUCUCUAGCUUUUGCUCCGAAAUUCUCCGAAUUUGAUAAGCUUUUCUUUAGUUUCCAUCGAGUGAUCUUGACUUCUCGUCACUUCGCGACCGUGACUUGAGACUGCUGGGAUGGCCUCAUCACCUAGGAUUGGAUAGCAGCGUCAGUCCCCAUAAUCAAUAACGAAUAUAGGGGCUCUUCCCAACUCCUAUUCUCAGCCUACUUUCUAUCUAGAACUUCGGUACUAAGUGAUUUUCCUCAUAUUUAUAGGUUGGUUAGUAUAUUUUUCAUAGAUGACACGGAAUAUUUUAACUUAUAUAUGAUCAGUCUAGUGUAAUGAACUAUCCCGGAUCCAUCGUAGCCCCCAAUAUAACAAUUUCACAUGCAUAAGACUUGAUGGACGUAUGCAAACCUCAAUUCUUUUUCACGGGCUUUCAUUUGAAAGGGUGUACGUAAUGAAUUUGAUAUAUAUCAACCUUUCUCAAUAAUUCAAUUUAUUAAGAUGCAAUGAUUCUCUCCAUUAACUAUCAACGUCUACAUAUAAUUAAAUAAGUGACAACAAAAGUUAAUUCUUGCCAAAUAAUUAUUAAAUAUAAAAACUAAUAUCGAACCGUUUUCUAACCGCUCAACACAUUGUAACACAAUUAUUUGUUAUGGGAGGAUAGUCUUAUGUUCAUUACUCCUUUGUUAUUAAUAUUAUCACUGAUAAUUAUUGAAAAAAUGCAUGGGUUGAACAUUAUAGAAGAUUUAAUAUAAUUUUCCCUCCACCAAUGAAUUGGCGACGUUAGUAGUACAAAUACAAACAAAUGGUUACGGUUUGACAAAUAGAAUAAUAUAAAUCAACAUCAAAUGGGGAUGAGAAAAUAUCUUUAUUUUCAGUUUUAAUUUUGAAAUGAAAUUUUAUUUAAUUUGGGGGAAAAUACAAAUAUCUGGGGAUGGAGGGUUGUGUGGCCCAACUUUGCCUUCUAGAUCCUUUAUUUUCUGGAAUAUAUAUACAGACAAUAUUAUGCUCAUGUUAGNNNNNNNNNNNNNNNNNNNNNNNNNNNNNNNNNNNNNNNNNNNNNNNNNNNNNNNNNNNNNNNNNNNNNNNNNNNNNNNNNNUAAAAUCUAUUUCUUCAUUUUUGGAAAAUGGAUUUUUUUGGAACAAUUAUUGAGAGCCAUAUUAAUAAUCCAACUUGGAUUAAUGACUAGAGAUGGUAUAGUACAUGCACCUUACUUUUUAGUAGAUAAAGGCUGAAGAUGUCUCGAUUCUUGAUUUAAAACUACUUCUACAUAAGGAAAUUUUAAGAAGAUAAUGAUAUGUAUAUACCGUCUUUUAAUGAGUCGAUGAGAGAAAAUUUAAAAUUUAGAGGUAAGAUUUGAGUAUGAUCGGAAAAUUUAUAGAGAAAUUGAAUAUGAGGUGAGAUUAAAUUAGAAUUAUCUUGNNNNNNNNNNNNNNNNNNNNNNNNNNNNNNNNNNNNNNNNNNNNNNNNNNNNNNNNNNNNNNNNNNNNNNNNNNNNNNNNNNNNNNNNNNNNNNNNNNNNNNNNNNNNNNNNNNNNNNNNNNNNNNNNNNNNNNNNNNNNNNNNNNNNNNNNNNNNNNNNNNNNNNNNNNNNNNNNNNNNNNNNNNNNNNNNNNNNNNNNNNNNNNNNNNNNNNNNNNNNNNNNNNNNNNNNNNNNNNNNNNNNNNNNNNNNNNNNNNNNNNNNNNNNNNNNNNNNNNNNNNNNNNNNNNNNNNNNNNNNNNNNNNNNNNNNNNNNNNNNNNNNNNNUAUCUUUAACUCAAUGUUUACAUACAAAUUUAUAACUUCAAAAAUCGUUAGCCAUCGACACGAACCUUCCUCGAGCCGCUAGUGUUAUAACAUGCAAUAUUUUGUACACUAUUUUAUAUAAUUUGUUUAUUUAUUUUUGGUAAAAAGGAGUUCCAAACACUGAGUAAAACCAUUUAUGGUAAUAGAAGCAAAUUAUUAAUAGAAAACCAUGGGUGAUGGCCGGCCACAAGUGGAUUUCACAUAAAGAAGAAACUUUCCUAAACCAGAGACAACUAUAAUAAUAAACAAAUGAAAUAAAACAACCAAUUUUCAACCGUAAACAAAGAUAGUGGUGGAGAAUGGAGUCUACUCUUCCCAUGCAUCGACCAAUUGCCAGUCUUUUCAAUAUGAUAAUAGUAUCGAACAUUGGUUCGGCCGGUUUGAUCAUAGAUUAAUCGUCGGGUUGGGUUGGGUUGGAAGAGAUUUAAUUAGUAUAGUUAUGAUUUGAUCAUAGUUAAUUUAUUAUGUUAUAAUAGUUUUAAACAAUUAAACCAUGUUGUAUUAACUUUUCUUUUGUUUAUAUGCGGUCAAGGGGAGAGGUAUAUAUCGAAUUUCUAUAUAGUAAACUUAAACAAAAAUAUAAUCAUAUACUCAAAGUCAUACCCAUUACCUACUUAUGAGAUCGUUCAUACAAAUACAUCAAAUUUUGACCAUAUAACAUGCAACUUCAUUUGUAGAUAGUCAGACCGAUUGCAGUUAAUGAGAUGGAGCAUAAGCUAGUUUAAAGAUGGUAACUCUUCGAGCAGAACAUAACAAAUCUGAACCAUGAGGACCAGUAAGACAACCCAUUUUGUGGGUAUACAAGCAACCACACACACCUUUGACAGCCAGUAAAAUGUUCAAACAAUAUGAAUACGAGAUGUCCACCAAAUCGAAUCGUACAAAAAUGAUUGCAAAGUACUAACUAACCCAAUGGCGUCACGGAUCGAAAUAACACUCAUUAUCAACCUUAAUUAGAUGGAAUCCUAGCUCCUAACAACCACAUGUAAAUGACAUGUUUCAACUUUCAAUAGUGUUUAGAGAAUCUCCGCUCCUUUCAGCAGCGAAUAAGCACGUCCCCGAGUAGCACCUUAAUCAUAUAUAAUUAACUAAUUUGAAAACCCUACCACCUUUAAUUUAUGUGAAAAUGGAAGCUUCCCUCGACGAAUGAGAAGCUUUGGAACAAGAACGUUUGGGGAACAAGAGGCUGGAACUUUGGGUCAAUCAAUGGAAUUAAUAAGUGGGUGGCUUGUGGGGUCUUGAUUUUGGGACUUAGUUUCUUUCUUGUGGUGGGAAUUCGUUGAAGUUGUUUCAGAACAAAGUGUGUUGGCUUCAGUUUAGUGGUGGUCGUUGAUAUUUUGAUUUUCCUUCUUAUUUUAAUCAUCUUCCUCGUUUCUUGGCCAGUUAAUUAUAUGGUUUAAUUAAGUACUAGCCGUGUAGUUUACUCGUCAUUAAUUAAUAAUUAUUAUUUUAUUUGUUAACCACAACCUUAAUUAGAGGUGUGUAGGACCCGGCUACCCCUAUUUUCAGGUAAAGAAAUGUUAUGUGUAAUUUUCAAAAUUAUUGUUUUUGGUUAUCUUUAAUUGACUUUUGAGCUAUAAAUUUUAAAGCGAGUUAGAUAAAAAAAUAGAUGACAGUGAUUUUGUCUUAGGUUAUCUUCUUUGUGGUGUUCACGGAAUUGCUCGUGAACUUUAAUAUUGUGUGUAAAUUUAGGGCCGGAUCAAUCCAACGAGUGUUAUUAUGUGAGGAAAUUUGCUAAGUUUCAAACAAUAUGAUAAAUCGAUAUAGAAAUAAGCAUUUGUGGGUUGCCAGUUUAGAGAACAUGCCCCCUCUACAACAACAACAACAAUAACAAGAUUUCAGAUCAAAUUACUCGCUCUUGUCAAAUUUGAUGCGUUGAAUUUACAUACAUGGUCUCGUAGCAUUGGUACACAACUAUGAGAAGUUAAAACCACUCCAUAAGGAGCACUACUAUUACUUGAAAAUUCACUAAACUUCGAGCAACAUGAUAAAUCUUCUCUAAACACCCCCAGUUAAAAGAUGUAUUUUUUCGAAUUAUUAUUAUUUCAAAUCAAAUUACUCACCGAACUUCAUCGAAGAUAAAAAGUUAAAUCACGAAAAAAAAACACCCGGACAUUUAUAUAUCUAUAUUUCCUUUUUGAUUAAACUAUAAUGCCAUGUUGUGUUGGUGAUUUUCAAAGUAAGAAGGGUCAAUUCCAAGUUGGUUGGGAAUCUGAAUUGGAUUUACUAAAGAAAUUAUAGAAAAAUUAUGUGAACAACAAAAGCCCUUCUCUCCCCCACCACUAAUUUCAGAAAGGGAAGCCAUUUGUUUUCCAACUCAAGAACACCCAUCUUUGUCUACAACUUCAAUUUUCAUAUAUAUAAGUCGUGUGGCUAUGGCCACCAAAGAAAAAGAGAUUGCAUACGUUUAAAUAUUGCAAGUAGCUAUGUUGGUGCACUCAUUUGAGACUGCGAGAGAGACAUCACAUCAAACUUUGUUAAAUAUCGACAUCUUUGCAUCCGAAAAUUUGACAUUGUUGGGUAGGACGUGGCUAGUCCCGACGAGGAAAGAUUAUCUAGGCAUAGUUUUCCGUUGGAUAGUUCACUCAUAUUGGUAAUAAGCUUUAUAUGUAGCCAUUUCCUUGACCACCAUGGUCACUGCUCGUCCCUUGCAUCGGAUGUAGUAUCCGCUGGUACAAAAAGAAGUUGGUACGUUCGUGUACUAGUCUAUCGCUCAAUCACCUACAUUCCAAUUACGAGCACAAACACUAAAUAUUCAAGGUAAAUCUGGUCAUAAACAUUUCAUCCUAAUAACUCGAGUUAUUCGUUAACAAAUCCAACACAUCAGUAACUAAUAUGAAUCCACAACUAGUUGAUAUUGGUGCAAUGCAUGUACCAUGCAUUAACACUUUCUAGCACAAAACAUAGUUUCAUGUUAUGAAUGAUGACUUAUGAAACAUGAGGGUAUUCGGAUCGGUUCUAGCAAACUGUCCUACUUAUGUAAGCUUGAUCGGUUCACCACACAACUGCUGAAGUUCGCUCUCAAAAACUCUCGUCAAGCUAGCCUUUGUCCGCCGAUAGAUCCAAGCUUCGGCAUCAUGGUCCCAGUCGAACCUCGAUGGACCACUACACGAAACCAUAGAGUCUGGUCAUUCAAUUCAUCUACCAGCUGGUUCAUAGCAAGAACAAAAAACCAUUGAUCCAAGAAACGCCAGAGAAAAAAUGGUAAGUGAUUCAUACCUCCCAGGAGAAGAGAGCCAAAGCUGCCUAUUGGGAGUCUGUUUGUUCAACACAAAGGUGCCUAGCUCUCCAAGCUUCAAUGUCAGAACCUCAUUCUACAAAUACACAACCAACUUUUUCAGAAAUCAGAACAGGGUCAUUUUGAUAUUCGAGAUAUCACGAUAUUAACAUAACUGUUGAACUUGCAUUCUCUCUAAUGAAACGAAUUAGAUUCUAUUAAAAGCUUACCCCAUAAUCAAUAUCAAAUCCUUCCACGUGAGCUGUAUCCCCAUAUUCCUACCACCACCAAAUCAAAUCCAAUUCGAAUUAACAAUACAAACACUACAACGAAUUAACGUAACUCAAAGCAAUCAAAUUUGCAUUUCAAACCUCCAAUUUCUCUUGUAGGUUAUGAAUCGUUGAAUCGGCUAGGUUGUGGAACUCGUUCUCCUGCAGAAGAGAGCUGUUUCUACAUUAAUCACCAUCUGUCACAGAAUACCCACUUCAGAACCUUUAACGUACCGGUAAUCGAUGGCGGAGGGGCCCUGGUCGACGGUGGAAGUUGGAGACGAGAAGCUUAUGGAAGGAGGAGAGACGGCGGAGGAAGGUGCGAAGGUGAAGCGAGUAGAGAUAGAUCGUGAAGCUUUCGGGAGUCGAGGACGUGGAGAAGGUGAAGAAGGGAAGCUGGGUGUUUGGAGAAACUUACUGAAUCGUCGGAAAGGAAGUAGCUUGGAAGAAGCCAUCGGAGCUCUCCUGAGACUGAGAAGUGAGAGCUAGCUGCCAAUGGAUGUCUGUUCGCUUUGUUGAUUCCUUCGACACAAUUCAGUCCGGCCCAUACUGAUGUGGGCUUGAUGAUGCACUCACGAGUAGUGUAAUAUAUUUGCCCCAGCCCAUUGUGUUUUCGAGUCUGGACCAGAGUGCCUUCAACCUCUCCCUUAAUUCGAAUUCUGCCGAGGGUGUCCGAUUAUUCUUGUCUCGCUAUUCAUAUAAGUACUCACUGUUUGAGUAUACACAUUGACUAUUUUUUGGCAUAGAUUGCUCCUAGGAGGAAAAAUCGAUAGAAUAAACACAAACAAAUUUAUGAAUUUAUCAAAAUCAUGAGCUCGAUUUCAACACGAUCAAGAAAAUAUAAAAAGCGUGUCUCGUCAUUUGAUAGGUAGCUCUGUUACUAUUACGUCGGACAAUCUACCCCUACAAACGAGGACAUACCUUCUAAAAGGCCAAGACUCCUAUAAUGACGACGACACUUACCACACAACAAAUGUUCCUUUGUAAUAAUAUGAAAAGCGUUCGCAUCUCUUAAAUACUCACCUCCUAAAUAAGUUAAUUUCAUACCAAAAAUACUAAAUAUACCAUAUUGAUUGGAACAAAUCCAUACGGAAAAUAAUUCGAGGCGGCUAAGGUAAAAAAUAAAAUUUAAGCCGGGAAGGUUGCAAUGCUGGUUCAGUAUUGAGUGGCCGCGGCGGCAACCGCUCGAAAGCAAAGGCGAGAAAUUACUCCAUUGAUUAGCAUCCACCAAUCCUGAAAACUUUUUGGUUAAUCCACAACCCGCCGAAAUAUCAAACCACCGACGUCAAAACAGGAACAGAAUCUCCGCCGGAGAAUUGAAAAUUUCAAUGGCUUAAGCUCACUUGAAUUCCAAAUCGCAAAGAAUCCAAUUCUUCCGUUUCUCUUCAGGUUUGCUUACCCACCUCUUGAUCUCAUCCUGUUGCUGUCACGAAAAAGUUAAUUAGUUUUUUUUAAAUUGCAAAUUUCUCUGUUCACUGACCCUUUUAAAUAAUCAGGAGCCAUUGAAAUUACGUAGCUGUGGUCUAUUUGGUGUUUGCGUCUGCCAAAUUCAAUCCUCACCACAGAAAGUCUUGUUUGUGUGCGUAGGGUUUUUCUUUGUCUUCUUCCAGCUACCGCCUUCUCUCUCUCGUUAGGUAAUAUUUAACAUUCAAUAAAAUCAAUUCAUAUUGUAUUAGAUUCCAUUAUUGUUUGGUCCUGCUGAAUUUUCAUUUCUCCGGAUCCCUCCCCCAUCUCUGCUGCAGAAGUUUCGAGGUUGUGAAUCUUCAGGUGCCGCGUUGAGCUUUCUUUCUACAAUCUGGCUGGGGAAAGGUAAGUCUUGCUUCCUAUUUUCCAGAUCGUACGUUGGGUUUGGUUUGUUUUUUCUUUCUGAAUUUUGCCUGAGUAGACGGAAUUUCGUAAUGUUUAUCUCUUGAUAAGUGGUUUAUGGCUAGGCUUUGCAUCUAUUUCAUGAAAGAUCUGAUCUUUAUGAGCUGAGGGUUGGGAAUAAUUGAAUUGUUGGGGACGAAUGUUCAAUUUUCCUUGGCGUUAAAGGCUGAUGUUUGGAUUUGAUUCUUGCUUGAGUCAAACGGGUUAUGGGGGUUUUUUUAGCUCCAUUGCUGCUUUAUGUUCUUAUUUGGUAAAGCAUUAGCUAUUUGGAAUGCCCUUUUCCAUUGAUGAAUGAUGAACUUAUGUUCAUGUUACAUGAUCAUCUUUGAUUACAUCAGUUGAGGAAUUAACCUUGAACUUGCUUAUCCUUUUGGUUUUCUGGCUUAAACUUUUGAAGGUGUGUCUGUUUGUAUUUCUACGUUUCAAUCAUGCUGUUCCUUCAUAUCAUGGUUUUUGAAUGUUCUUUGCGUUAAUUGAGCAGGCCAUACUGUUAUAUGCAUAUUGGGGACUCGAUUUCCCUAGUUGACAAAGAUUCCGGUUCACUCUGGCCGCUUCAACAAAGUUGAGGUCUGCUCGCACCUCAAGGUGGGUGUGGAGUGAUAGCGAGGAAGUGAUAUUGCUUUGUGCGUUGAGGAGAUCGAGAUCUUCUCAUGUUUGGAGACUAUGCCGUGUAUCGGAGGGCUUGUCGCUUGAUUAUGGCUAAGGUUUUCAUUUUCUAGAGUUUUCAUUAGUGUUGGUUACAGAUUAAACAUUUCCGGCAAGCAAAUAGGUUUAAAUAUCAGGCUUCUAGAUGUGAUCAUCAUAUAGAAUAUCCGGGAGUUUUAGUCCUAGUGUAGUUGCAAAGACCAGGUUGUAGAUGUAGAGCUCUCCUCGGUUUGCUGUCACAAUGGUUAGGUUCUCGUGCUUCAAUGGUCAUAUUCAUUCAUCCCACAAAUCAAAGGUAUGUGGAAGAGUCACUGGCAUUUGGAGUUAAAGAGUCGCAAGUUUUGAGAUACCGUUUUGUCAUUAGAUAUUCGUUUUCUCCUUCAGACAACUGUUGAACAAUCUAUGGAGGCAAUGCUGAAGGCGUUGCAAGAUUCUACUAAGGUGCAAGAUGUGAAGACGUCAACAGCUCAACCUACAAGCUUAAACUCUGUAUUUCUCAGGUCAAAAACGGAUACUCAUAUUACUUAUGAGGAAGUCUUGGAUUCAGAGGAGAUUGAGCAAACAUCAGGAGUCGAGAUUGAUCCAGGAAUCUGUCAUGGAACACUGCUGAAGAGAAGUAAAUCCCUAGGGGAUGAAUUAUGCCACGAAGGUAAGAUCGAUUACAACAAAACAGAAGAAGAGACGGACCAAGGUGGUUCCAGUGACUGCCCUGAUCAGAACGGGUCGGGUGGAGCACGAGAAGGCAGCCCGACUAGUGAAUAUGAUAAGGCCCCUCUAUCGGAAUCUGUUCAAGUCGGUUCUGAUAUAGUCAACGAUGGAUCGGUUUUCUCGGCUGGAGAUUCUCAUCGUUCAAACAAGGAGGUUCCUGGAAGUUGUGGUAACCAGUUAUUUGGACUUGGUGCUGAUAAUUCUGGCGUACCUUCUCCUCCGCGCCCUACCAGGCUCGAAAGAUCUCGUUCAUUUCCAAACUUCAGGUCUGCCUCUCUGGCAUCGGGUGCUCAUACUGGAUACUUAUCAGGAAAGUCAAAAUCUUGUGAUGACUUACGUGGGCUGGAUAUGGGGUGGAAAGAUCUUCCUGUUCACGAAGCUGGAAUGCAAUCCAUACAUGAUAAGGAUUGCAGAAGUGAAGGGAAUAACUUUGAGAACCUUCCGGACGAUGUGUAUGAUUCUUAUGAUUACUCUUCUCCUGCUAAAGACUGGGUGAUGCCGGUUGCUGACGAGGAUGAAAACUUAGCAGAAGAACAACUCGAACGAGUAGGUGGAUCUUCCAUGCAGCAACCAGGCGAAUAUCCGAAUGAAGAUUUUAGAUUCAGGCGAAUCAAGGCAUGGGUCAACGAUCUUCAUUCCUGCGGCCCUGUGGACGAAGUAGUUGUAUUGCCUGGUAUCGACGAACUAGUCAGUACCGAGCCGUCCACUGUUUCGGGCCGACCUACUACUGUUGUAAAAGUGGAUGAUAAAAUGACUCUGGAAACUCCGUAGGUUAGUUAGUUGUAUCCAUUACUUCUUCCUGCUUUAAAUAUAGAAAGAAAUUUCCUGAAUGUAGUGUGUUUGAAUUUUUUGCAGCUAGAAUAACUGCUGGUGUCCUUCCACGUGGACUUCACAUGCUGAAUCUGGCGAAGAACAAUAUAUCUACGAUCGAGGGUUUGCGGGAACUCACUCGACUACGUGUUCUGGACUUGAGCUACAACCGAAUAUUUAGAAUCGGACAUGGUAAGUACGACACUAACUCCUUUUAACUUGCAUAGCUGUUAACCAUACUUAUAUUCGAACUCUGUGUUUCAAAAAGGUCUUGGUUCUUGCUCAUCCUUAAAAGAGCUAUACUUGGCGGGGAACAAGAUAAGCGAGGUCGAAGGUCUGCAUCGUCUGCUGAAACUCACAGUCCUCGAUCUGCGAUUCAACAAGCUCUCGACGACCAAAUGUCUCGGCCAGCUUGCAGCCAACUACAGCUCCCUACAAGCCAUCAGCCUGGAAGGGAAUCCGGCUCAGAAAAACGUCGGAGACGAACAGCUCAAGAAGCACUUGCAGGGACUUCUGCCCCAUCUGGUUUACUUCAACAGGCAGGCAACCAAAGCCGGCACUUUAAAGGACGCAGCUGACCGGUCGGUCAGGCUGGGGAUAAGUUCAAACAAAUCGGUUAGGAAAGCCGGCCAUGGGGUAACUGCAUCAAGGGCGUUAUCAUCAUCCACGCACGGUGGUCGUGCGAGUACAUCUUCUCCGAAACGGUCGAAGGGGAGGCAUGUUAAGCUCCCGCCGAGUGGAACUGGCAGACCGAGCGGCCAUGCUCGCCCGCCAGUGCAAGGUUUGGAUCUCGGCGGGAGGGUUGUGGAUUUCAGAGCCGAGCUGGCUAUGACGAGGAGUAAGAGUGAAGGGAAUAUGGGACCUCAGUGAAUCUGAAGUUAUGAAGAGGGGAAAAGAACUUUGUUUUGAUGUUCCAGUUUGUGAGGUUUUAUGCUUUGAGAGGUGAUUGUGUUGUAAUCAUUAAUAACGCCAUGAAGAGUGGUGAAUUUGGAACUUGGGGAUGUUGUUUCCUUUCUGUGUUGUGGGAUUUGCUUUGUAUUGCUAAAUAAAAACUGUACUUUCUUCCUCAGAGAUUCCUAUUCGACUCUAAAUGAGUCGAGUUUGAUCAGAGUAUGUUUGGCUUGAGCGGCUCGGAGCCAUUUAUAAUACUUGCCCUCAUCAGUGGGCUCAAUAAAUUCAUUAUGUGUUUUUCCUCAAGUAUCUUAGACUAAACCAUAUAUAAUUUGCAAUUUUAUUAAUGAAAAUGCUAAUAAUACCUGAUCUAGGUUUUAAAAGUAAAAGCUUGUUUUCGAGUUCUGAUUUUGAAUUAGUAUUUGCUUGACUCUAUAGGUUCAGGAGCUGACUUGAGUCUUAGCACGAGAUCCAAUUAAAAUACUUGCUUAACCAUAUAUAAUAAUUAGUAGGUUCAAUAAUGUGAUUUUGCUCACUAAUUAAAAGGGUAGAAACUUGUUUUUUAUAAGAUAAACUUGUUAUUGAACUUCGAUGUCUUUUUACUUUUACUGUACACCGGCUUCAAAGAUAAUUAGCCAGCAAGCUGAAGUUGCCUUUAGCUCGACACGAGCUUUAAUUUUCCAACUCGAACUCACCUCACGAGCUUAAGUAUUUUGUAAGAAAUUGCAUAAAAAUGGAGACUUUGACUGGAAAAUAAACAGUAAGACAGGCAAAGUUGUUAACAUUCACAUGACCACUUGUUCAGGUCAUUACAAAGGAAAACCCAACAGUGUCGAUAUAUACAAAGGGAAAAGGUAACUCUCUCUCACACACAACAAAGACAACAAUGGCCGUCAGCGCUUCUAUUGCUUCAAUUGAUGGCUGCAGAAAGAUUGCAGCUUUUACAGUCCAUGGAUGAUGCAGAUAGAUCACUGAAACAAAAGGACACAGCCAAAACAAACUGCUGGAAGUUAGAUUGGAUUGCGUGUAAGCUAUAGUGAAACUAACCAGUGAAUCAAAUUAUAUUCACCUGAUCAAGCUUGGAAAUCAUAUGCAUGGUAUCCGCAGUUCCUUAAGCUUCUGCAAGAACACAAACAGAGUUAACAUUGAUGCAGGAAGUGAGUUACAUAUCACAGGAAUAACAAUUAAAAUUAAAGCAGAGAAAUUUCAUGAUCAGAUAAGAAUUCCAACGUCAAGACAUCUUGUUGCUCUCGUAGAAUGACUAGACUUGUCCUUUAACCAAGACCCAAUUCUCAUUUCACACUAUAUGAGCUACAAGACAAUCUCUUUUUAAGUAAAUUGACAUAUACCAUGGAAGCAAAUUACAGAGAAGUAGAAUUCCCAGGAUAAGAUAGCCUGUGAUAAGCUAGGAAGCAAACUUAAAACCACUUCUAUCAACUUGCAAAUAACCAUAGAUGUGCAAAUUCAAACAUACUUAUCAAUGAUUCUCUGUUCACCAGAUAAAAAAGCAAAGUCCAAACAGUUCAGCAAAAUGCAGUGAUUCAAACAAAGUUCAAUUUAUCUUCAUUUCCAAUUUCCAAAUAACCAUACUGAUCAAUGAUUCUAUGUUCAAACAGUUGAGCAAAUGCAUUGAUUCAAACCUUUCUCUUCCUGUUCCACCUCUGGCACUGGAAGAAGCUCAGCAGCAGAAGCAGAAGCUCCUAUCUUCAAAUCUUCACUUUCUCCAUCCUUAUCAUCCGGAUACCUUACAACAACCACAGGACAAAUACAGUGAUGAACACAGUAAUCACUAACACUCCCUAACCUCCCUUUACCGCUCCUCCUCGCAGCUCCAAAUCCUCUGCUCCCCAUAAUCACAGCGCUCAACCCUAGCCUCUCAACUUCCAAACACAGCCUCUCCUUCAUAUCAUGAUCCUUCACUAUGUGGAUCUUGAACGGAAACCCGGCGUCAACCAGCGGCUGCGCCAGGGCGCUCGCCUUGGUGGUGGUGAAGUUGUCGAAGUCGUCCUCGAGCUUCUUCUGGUCCGCUAUGUCGUCUCCGUCGUCGACCGUGUUGUUGAUCUGGACUUUGAUCGAUCCCCAAUCGGCUCCGUACAGGACGGAUGUCGGGCGGACGUGGAGGAGUAUGACGGCGUCCCCCGGGCGGAGGUAGUUCUGGACCGCCCAGUUUACUGCGUACGCACUCUCGUCGCUUAGAUCGACGGCGAUCGCGAUGCGGCGCUUUGCUCCGGCGGUUGGAGUGGCGGCAGCUGCUUGAGAGGAGGAGAAGCUUCCGCUGCGAGGGGAGGCGGUGGGGCGGGUGCGGAGGGAUGGGAGGGACGGGAUUGGGAGGUCCGAUUCCGGUUGCUUCUGCGGCGAUGCCAUUGCGGCGGCGGCCGGCGGUGAAGAAAGGGUUUUGUUGAGUGAGAAUCGGUUUUGAAUUUCAGGUGACGGACACUCUAGAAAUGAAGGAGGAGAAAUACACUGGGAGGAAAUAGCGUUGUGGAACAUAUAAAUGCUGUCGUCUGUAGCAGAUUCAGUGGGCCCGAAGAUAAAAGCCCAACUCUUCCAGUGAUUACAGUUGAACUGGGCCACCUGAUAGGACUCUUAGGUGGGCUCAGUCAGUGGUUUGUAUGUAUUUUCGAAGUUCAUUUGGUUGAGGUGGCGAUAGACGCUACAGAAUUGGAUCAUAUUACUGUCGGUAGCUCUAACUAAAGUCGACUCUCGAUCAUGUUAUUGUUGGUAGGUCUAGUUAAAGUCGACUCUUUAUAUCGAAAUAUUCGAUCAUAUCUCUCGAUCUAGACACACCAGACAUAUCAUGACGAAGGUAACCUCAAUUUAUAGAAGACAAGACUUAUAUCCAUAGUUACAUUUUAUUACAAGUGGCAGCUGGAUAACAACAUGAUUAGUUUGUACAAUUAAUCCUUGUAAUAAUUCAUCAAUUACUGUCAAUUUGUUUGUCUUUCUUUCUGUAAUAUUGAUUGAUGGCUAGACAAGACAGUUGCACCGUUAGCCAUGGCAAAUCGGUUGGUGCACAAGCAUAAUCCGUGUGGUACACGGCUUCUGUCUUUCGUGUUUUCCUACACUAGAGCUUCAAAUCGAGAUAUAAAUCUUAAAAAAUCGAUCUACAUUAUGUUUUACGUGAAAAUCAAAAUAAAAAGUCGAAUCUUAAAAUAGCAUAAAACAAAUUUGAAUCGAGUUUAAGCGAUGUAAGUACAUUUUUCGAGACACCCAUCACCCCCCAUUGUUUAUCUGAAUAAGAUAUUCCAUUCAUCGUACUAUAAUCUUCACAUUUUCCAAUUGAUGUUGCCGAUAUCGACUAUAAAAAAGUAAGAGAAGAAGAAAAGAAGAUAAUUUAUGAGGAAGGAACUUAUGCAUAUAAGUGAGGCAUGUUAGGUAGGUGGUAUGUAAUCAACCACUCUUUCAUUUUGUAAUAGCUCACAUUAGAGCUAAGAUGCCACAUGUCAUGUCUUGGUUGGCUAAAUUUAUGAAAAAUUUACGACAGAGCUACUCUCGCCUAUGUGCCCUUGGGCCCAUGGGAUUCGAUUGGCCAGUUGCGGACUCAAAGUCGUCGAUUGGUUUGUCGAAAGUCUAGGCGGGUAGGCACAGUAAGUGACAAGCCAACUAUCAGGUGGUUUGUUUCUCAUGCAAUGUUUAGUCCCAACUUGGCCACAGCUGUUACAUUCAAGUGAAGUGGAAAAUUUGACAUUUUUAUCGGAUUAGAAAGUGACCUUAGAUGCUUCAUGAGAUUUAACAAAGAUUCUCAAAUCAACCAACCCAUGUUUGGUUAGUUUUGUUUCAUUUGGAGAAUAAAUUAAUAAUGAUCAAAUUGGUCUUUUUUUAAUUCAUUUUUACCAACCAUAACAUCAUGUGCUAUUACAAAAAGAAAAUGACUGAAUUUCAACCAUAGCCAACCACUCUCUUUUUCCAUUAUAGUCAACCAUUUCCUUGAUAUUUGUUUAAUUAUGUGACCAAAAUAAAACACCUCGAACAAACUCUACAUGCGAUAUUUGAAUUGUUAUUCCAAUAAUUUUUUUAUGAUAUCAAAAUUUAUUCACAUUUUAUUAAUUUAUGAUAAAAUUAUGCUUUUGUAUAAAUAUUUUGACUUAUUAAUAUUAACACAAACAGAUAAUAAUGUUCAACGUGCCAAAAAGAAUAUUAUUGACAUGAGAAAAUAAAUCUUCCUCACGAGCAAUUCGAUAAUUUUUUACAUAACUAACGUUACAAUCGCACCGUCACCAACUUCCAAAUACUAACAUGUUGUCCGUUUUUUUAGCCACACUAACAUCGAUUUAUUUUUUGGUUCUUUCCCAUAAUGUGUUAUACAAAUAUAGUUAAGACAUAGUACACAAUUAUAAGUUAAACAAAUUUGGUCUAAUCAACGGUUAUUCCAACACGGUCUAGUCUUCCUCUCCAUGCUGUUGAAUUCAGCCGAUAUAGCAAACGUGUGAUUAUUUUCCGUCUAGAAGUCAAUAAAUGUGUACGAGGAUGGAAGAUUAACGGCGGCGGUGACAACCGUCGACGGAGCUUUUGUCGAUCAUAUCAUAUUAUCAAUAGGCUGUGGAGUAGUAGCUGUAAAGGGUACCAAGUUGUCUUCCAGGCAAAUGGGCAUAGAGACCUUCAAUUAUUUCACAACUUGUUCGGAUUCAUAAUCGGCGGCGGCGCGUGGUUUUCGUCCAAGAAAAUAAUAAUAAUGACGUGCAUGGGACAAAACACUAAUACUAAUAAUACUUAUCCUAAACCAGGUGGUAUUGCUCUAACCGCCCACUGUUUUAGUUUCCACCGUCGCCGCGGCUGUCAGAUAAGUUUCAACGGAGCAGCGUAUAUUUACAUUUGACGGCCGUGUUUUCAAUUUUCCGUCCGGCGGCUUCUAUGAUUUUGAUGACGAUGACCAAUUUUACAUUUCAAUAUCGAGCAUUUGAUUGGCCAAGGUUGAAACUAGUCAACUAGCUAGAUACAUCUAUCUCACACUAAUUCUGACGGUGAAAAUUAAAUUUGACAUCUUACCGUAUUAGAAAGUGACAUAAGAAAGGUUAAUAGUUUAAUAUGAAUCAUGAGAUUUAGCUAGGAUUCUAAAAGUCAACCCCAAUAUCUUCCCUACUCUUCCUUUUCGGUUCGGUUCGAUCAAUGACGGAUCCAAGAUGUACUGAGUUAGAUUUGAAUUGAAAUAUAUAUAUAUCGAGUAAUUAAUUUACGAAUACAUAUUUUAAGCGUAAUAUAUAAGUUAGAAUAUACAUAUUGUAGUUAGGAUUUCUAGUGGGUUUCCACCACAUGCAUGUAGAAAGUAAGCUAAUUUAAAAAAUUUCAACAUUAACAUAAUAUCAAGUAAAAUUGAUUUUCAACUUCAUUUAAUUAUUAUUACAUGGAUUAUCAUGAUGACACUUGAUUUUUAACUAUUUUCAACACACAUGUCAAAUAUUAAUCAAUUUAAAAUUUUUAAAUUAAUUAAUAUUUAAUAUGCAUAAUGAUUAAAAAUUGAGAUUUUACUAUGUUGAAUCAACCUCGAAUAACUUUUUAACGGAGGGAAACGUAUUUCCAUUUCACGGACGGCCGUGUUUCAAUUUUCCGGCGGCUUUCACGAUUGACGACGAUGACCAAUUUGACCUAUCGGAUACACCUCAACGUUCAAAUAUGAAGCAUCUGAUUGACCAGGCGAUAAACUACUACUAGUCAACUACCUAGAAACAUCUUUCUCAUCCAAUUCUCAUCUACAACAUGGCAAAUAUAUCCUUUAAUUUCAAGGUGAUAUGGAGAAAAUUGACAUCUGAGGUUAGAAAAUAACCUAAAUUAGAUGCAUCAUGAGAUUUAGUUAGAAUUUCAAAAAGUUAAUGUAAGAUACCUCUAAUUCAUGUAUAUUAAUCUUGGGCCUCGAACCGAACCCAUAAAUUUAAAAGAUCAAACACAUUUUAACGUCCAAUAAUUGAAUAAUCUCAAAUGAUUGGUCAAAUUCAAAAGAAAAUUGAAUAUUGUUCCCUCUAAACUACAUGCCUCAUGGGCACUCCAUAAAGCAUAUACUUACUACUUUUUUUCACAUGCCUUGCGAGGUAUACCCAUGAGUAGAACAAUUAGAAAACAGAAAAUAUAUCAAGCAAUUUCUAAUUAUCAGAUUGUAUAGGCCAAACAAAUGUAUCACCCAAUCCAAUCAGACUGAACUCUUUGUCCAUUUUCUAAUUAAAACUUUUGCUACAAUCUUAAUAAGUAAACACACAACCUUUUUAUUUUGACAUUAUAUACUUUUUUCGUGUUUUGACUUGUUGGCAUUCAUGAAUGCAUGCAAAUAUCAAUGCAUAGCAUUAAUGAUGUCCCUUAGGAUCUAAUUCAUCACGAUCCAACAUUCAACAACAAUCGUCCACUUACAAACAGUGAACACUUCGUAUACUAACAAGUUAAAAUGAAUAAUUAUCUUGAUAUCUCUAGACGAGUUAUUAAGAUAAGAAAAAAUAUAUUCAAAUUGAUGAUAAAAUUGGUCUUCUUUAAUGCAGAAAAAGAGUCAACCACUUUUCAUUUUGUUUAUGAUCCAAAAAUAGAAAAACCCCGCCGCGUUCCCUUAUUCGGAAUACCGCUUUUUGACUUUUUUUUACGUUUCAGGAGCCAGAGGAGAAGAGAAGCAAGCUCACCGAGUUCACCGAAUCUCUGCAACUUGCUAACUCACUAUUUGUUUAAUCAUCCCUGCAAAUGCGUUCAUCUCCAAAAACCCAAUUCAUUUCCAUCAACCUUUUUCUUACUCUCUCGCCGAAUCGACGGACUUCAUGGCCCAACUACUCCGGCUGAACUUUCCGACCAUCGUCGUCUUUACUUGCUUGCUUCUCACCACCACCACCCGUCUCUGCCUGGGAGCUGACAGGAUCUCUCAGAACGAAACGCUCACAGCAAACCAGACGCUAAUCUCCUCAAACGACAGAUUCGAAUUGGGUUUCUUCAAUCCAGGUAACUCCUCAUCUUACUACCUCGGAAUCUGGUACUAUCAGGUCUCCAUUAGGACAGUAGUGUGGGUUGCAAACAGAGAAUCCCCUGUUCCCAACAACUCCUCCGCCGAGCUCAGAAUCUCCGGCGGCGCCUUAGCUCUGUUCUUCAACCAAUCCCAGAUCUGGUCCACUCCGACGACGGUUUCUUCUUCUUCUCCGACGGAAGCUGUUCUUCUCGAAGACGGAAACUUCGUGUUAAGAAAAACAGAUUCCUCCGAAAUUGUGUGGCAGAGCUUUGAACAUCCGACGAACAUUUUCCUCCCGGAAGCCAAGCUCAGCCGCAGCAAAAUCACUGGCGAGCACACAACUGUGGUUCCCUGGAGAGGAAAUAACGAUCCCACCCCUGGGAAUUUCUCCCUGCAGUUAGACCCCAACGGUACGGAUCAGUUUGUUAUAAUCAAGGACCAAUCCUCGUUGUACUGGAACAGUGGGGUUUGGAAUGGGAGAUUCUUCACAUCAGUUCCUGAGCUGAGAACGAAUUUCUCAUACAAUUUCUUCUUCAUCGACAAUGAAAACGAAACCUACUUUACUUAUUCCUUGUACAACAAGUCAAGCAUCUUCCAUGUCGCAAUAACCGAAGGAGGUAACCUCCAGCUGCUGUCAUGGAUGGAAGCUACUCAGAGAUGGUUCUUAGCUUGGUCGAGGCCGAAAUUACAGUGUCAGGUUCAGCUGUACUGCGGUGCAUUCGGAUCGUGUGAUGACGAAUCCACCCCUACUUGUCGUUGUCUCGAAGGAUUCGUUCCAAAAUCGAGCGAAGAGUACGAUUCCAACAUAUUCUACAGCGGAUGCAUUCGAAGAUCCGAGCUUCAAUGUGGUAGGAGCAACAAUAACACUGAUAGGUUCAUCAGAGGGUAUGCGGUUAGGGAUACGGUUUCGGGAUCCCCUGCUUCGAGAUCGGCUGCGAAUGUAGAGGAAUGUCAAUCGGUCUGCGAGGAUACGUGUUCAUGUAACGCGUAUGCUUUCGAAAACGGGAGGUGCUCGGUUUGGAAUGGUGAGGUGUAUGACAUGUUUCGGCUUGGUAAUGGUUCGUCUGGUGGUGUGCCGAUUUUCGUUAGGGUUGCUGCUGAGGUAGCGAGUGGUGGUUCGGGUUCGAAGAAGGGUGUUGUUCUUGGUGCUGUGCUUGGAUGUCUGGUGGCAGCUGCGAUUGUCGGGUUUGUAAUGUUCGUAGCCUUCAGGCGGUAUCAGAGGAGAAAGAUGGAUCGAAAUAUCGAGGAGAAUUUCAACAUUGCGAAUGGUGACGAGGAUGACAACACAAAGCUGACGUUCUUCAGCUUUAAGAACGUUUUAGCCGCCACUGAUAACUUCUCCGAAGCGAACAAGCUUGGAGAAGGCGGUUUCGGUCCUGUCUAUAAGGUAAAACUUCUUCUGCUUUAACAUUCUUUGCUGUAGUUCUGUUUCAGGAAUGGUCUGUUUCAUUUGGAGACACAUUGUGUAUCAGGGAGUUCUACUGCAUGAUCAAGAAGUGGCAAUAAAACGGCUUUCGAAGAAAUCAGGGCAAGGGUUAGAGGAGUUCAUGAACGAGCUGAGACUCAUUGCGAAGCUGCAGCACACUUACCUAGUCAGGCUGUUGGGAUGCUGCGUCGAGAGGGAGGAGAAGAUACUGAUCUACGAGUAUUUACCGAAUCGGAGCCUGGAUAAGUUCCUCUUCGACCCGGCUGCAAAAACCGAUUUGGAUUGGCUGAUGCGGAUCAAGAUCAUCGAAGGGAUAGCUCAGGGACUUCUGUACAUCCACAAGUACUCGAGAUUGAAGGUCAUCCACAGAGACCUGAAGGCCAGCAAUGUUCUUCUGGAUGCUGAUAUGAACCCCAAGAUCUCGGAUUUUGGAAUGGCCAGGAUCUUCGGGAUCGAUCAAGCUGAAGCUAAUACCGUCCGCAUCGUUGGAACAUAGUAUGUGUGCUAUUGUGCUAUACUUACAUCAAUCUUAUCGAUUUUUUUUUUCCUCUGACAUGACCAUUUGUGAUGGUGCCAGUGGAUACAUGUCACCAGAAUACGCAAUCUACGGGUCAUUCUCGGAGAAGUCAGAUGUGUUCAGCUAUGGCGUACUACUUUUAGAGAUCGUUAGCGGGAGGAGGAACACCGAUUUCUACGAUCGCGAAACUCCGUUCUCCCUUCUUUGCUGGGUGAGUUUCAUAAUGUUAGAUUGUAAUUUGGUCAAUGGUCUUGGUCUGACACAGUGUUUUGGUUUUGAAGGCAUGGGAGCUAUGGAAAGAAGGGAAACCGGAAGAGCUGAUCGAUCCGGCGGUGAAGGACGCCAACAUCAAUGCUCCGCAAGCUGUGAAGUUCGUUCAUGUCGGUCUGCUGUGCGUGCAACAGGAUCCAGCUGACAGGCCGACCAUGUCAUUAGUAACUCAGAUGCUGUCGAGCAAUUACUCGCAGUCGUUUCCGUUGCCUGGAGAACCGGCCUUCAACAUCGGGAGAGCUGCUGUCGGAGGAAGUAGUAGCGUUGGAUCGGUUCCUACCGAUAUUUCGAAUAACCAGAUCACGAUUACCAUGCCGGUUGGUAGAUAGUAGCUGCUACUUUUGUGUAUGGGAAGAACUAUACCAUCCAUUACCAUGUAUGACUUUCCAGUUAUGAAUGCAGAAAUUGAAUAAAUACCAAAUCUACAGUGCCACAUGUCAUGCCACUAUUGGUUAGUUCGGGCAAAAACAUUCGAAUGUUGAACACUUCUACAAGUCAGCAGUCAUGUCGGCGGCGGUUACGAAUCCAUAACCCCAAUUUCACUGCAAUAGAAAAGAACAGAAUUACUAUUGAUGGAAUGAAAUAAGUCUGAGAUGAAAGUUCAGUCAGAGGUUUGACCUAAAAUGCUGACUAUCGUUGUCUGAAUAUAAUAUAUAUUAACUAAUGAACUUCAUACUCUUAACCAUACAAAUCCUUCAAUCAUCAUCUGUUCUUCAGCUUUCAUGGCGGCUAAUCCAUGGCUAAAAUUUCCAGCCAUAAUCACCAUUUUCUUCAUUUCCUUUUCUCUGAAAGCACAUUUCUGUCAUGGAGCUGACAGGAUUACUCAGAACCAAUCUCUGUCUGCACACCAAACCCUGAUCUCAUCAGGGAGCAGAUUCGAGCUCGGUUUCUUCAAGCCCGGGAACUCAUCAAACUACUACCUCGGAAUCUGGUUCCACAAAGUGAGUAGAGCAGUGUGGGUAGCCAACAGAGAAUCGCCGAUUUUCAACCCUUCGUCUACUGUGUUAAGAUUCUCGGACGGGAAUCUAGCUCUGUUCAGCAAUGAGUCCGGCCAAGUUCCCAUUUGGUCUACCAAUUCUUCGACCCCUUGUACGGAGGCUGUUCUUCAGGACAAUGGGAAUCUCGUGUUGAAGGGGGGAUCAUCUGAUGAUGAGAUCCUGUGGCAGAGCUUUGAACACCCGAGUGAUACGUUGCUUCCUGGUGCGAAGCUCGGGCACAACAAAAUCACGGGGAGGUACAUUACUAUGGUUCCUUGGAAGAGUGAGGACGAUCCAGCUCCAGGGGAUUUCACCGUGCAGCUGGAUCCGAACGGGACGAAUCAGCUCGUUGUUAUCACGAACAAGUCCACCUUGCACUGGACUAGUGGGCUUUGGAACGGGCGUUUCUUCAGCUCGGUUCCUGAGAUGAUGUGGAAGAACAUUUAUGACUUUGUCUACAUUGAUAACGAGAACGAGGCCUACUACGCAUAUUCCGUGCUCAACAAGUCACUCAUCUUUCGCAAGUCGGUGAGUAAAGAUGGGAACUUUCAAGUAUUGCUAUGGAAUCAGAACUGGAAUCUGAUCUGGUCACAACCCAGGUCGCAGUGCGAAGUCCGACAAUACUGUGGUGCUUUCGGGUCUUGCCACGACGGAUCCUCUCCUUCCUGUUAUUGCGUUGAAGGGUUUGUUCCAAAGUCCGCAGAUGAAUACAGCUCGAACGUGUUCUACAACGGCUGCAUCAGAAAAUCUGAUGUUCAAUGUGGGGAUUCGAGAAACGGGACAAUCAAGAAGCUGCCUCUUAAAGAUAAGUUCCUUCAGGGCUAUGCAGUAAGUGAUAACACGUCAGGAUCUCCAGCCUAUAGAUCGCUUAGGAAUGUUCAAGAGUGUGAAUCCACUUGCCUCGACAGUUGCUCCUGCUGUGCAUAUGCUUACCAAGACGAUACAUGCUCGAUUUGGUCGCAAGAAGUUUACGAUAUCCAUAGCCUUGCUGAUGACCCUACCGGAGUACCAAUUUAUGUAAGAGUUGGUACUAGUACUGAACUCCCAAGUUCGGGUACUAAGAGAGUGGUUCUUGGUGCUGUGUUUGGCUCGAUAGCCGCGGUUGUUCUCAUCGGCUUUCUAUCGAUUGCAGUAUCGAGAUGGUACCACAGGCACAAGCUAGGUCAACACUCUUCCAUAAAUGUUUGGUGUAGUUCUCCAUGCUGAUUUGAUCUGACAUCAUCACUAAAAUUAUCAGGAAAUAAUGAUGAGAACAGCUACUUCAACGGGGAAGGAGGCGAAGAAAACAAUACGAAGCUGACAUUCUUCAGCAUCAAGACUGUAUUAGCUGCAACAGACAACUUUUCUGAAGCUAACAAAUUAGGAGAGGGCGGUUUCGGCCCAGUCUAUAAAGUAGGUUUCAGCUCUGAACUCAUUUUCUUUGCUGUUCGUUUCUACACUAAAAUUUAUUCUUUCAGGGAGUUUUGGUUCCUGAUGAUCAAGAAGUGGCUGUAAAAAGGCUUUCGAAGAAAUCGGGACAGGGGCUAGAGGAAUUCAUGAAUGAGCUGAAGCUCAUUGCAAAACUCCAACACACUUACCUUGUUAGGCUGUUAGGCUGCUGUGUUGAAAAGGACGAGAAGAUACUGAUCUACGAAUACUUGCCGAAUCGAAGCUUGGACAAAUUCCUAUUUGAUUCACCUGCAAAAGCAGAUUUGGAUUGGCUUACGCGAAUUAAAAUUAUAGAUGGCAUAGCUCAAGGGCUGCUGUACAUCCAUAAGUACUCGAGACUAAAGGUUAUUCACAGGGACAUGAAGGCAAGCAAUGUUCUGCUGGAUGCUGAAAUGAAUCCCAAAAUUUCGGAUUUCGGAAUGGCAAGGAUUUUCAGGAUUGGCCAAGCAGAAGCUAAAACCAAUCGAAUAGUUGGAACAUAGUAUGUUUGUAACCAUAUUUGUUUGUUAAUCUUUAACCUGCAAAACCCUUGGAUCACUGAUCACUACAAUGGUGCAGUGGCUACAUGUCCCCAGAAUAUGCAAUCUACGGGAAGUUCUCGGAGAAAUCAGAUGUGUUCAGCUACGGGGUGUUGCUGUUGGAGAUUGUGAGCGGAAGGAGGAACAAAGAUUUCAAUCAAUCCGAAAUUCCAUCCUCCCUUCUUUCUUGGGUGAGUCAAUGCUUUCCAUCCCUUUUACUUUCCUAGUCAAUUCUCUUUGUGUUCACUUGCUCAUCGUCGGAAUUAGUUGAAUGAAGAAGACAUGGGAGCUAUGGCAAGAAGGAAAACCAGAAGAGCUAAUCGAUCCAUCAGUGAAGGAUACUACCUGCAGUGAUACUGCAGAAGCGGUGAAGUUCAUCCACAUUGCCCUUCUAUGCGUGCAAGAAGCUCCAUCUAACAGGCCAACUAUGGCUUCAGUAGCUCAGAUGUUAUCAAGCAAUUAUCCAGAGUCAUUUCCAUUGCCAAAAGAACCGGCCUUUACGACGACGAGAGCUGUUCUUCCUAAUAAUUGUUCAAACAAUCAGAUGUCAAUGACCUUAUCAGUUGGUAGAUAGCAUGAGGAAAACUACAUAAUUUGUAGCUGACAUAUCAGCUAAUUAGCAUGUUUUUCUGCAGAGUAUAAAUAACGAUAUAACGAUAAAUUAACUUCUGAUACUAACAGUACAAACAUGUAGUGCUGAAAGAGCUGAUGAUAUCAUUCACUCCUUGUAAAAUCAUCUGGGUUCAUGUUAAGAAGUUCGAUCAUUGGAGCACGAGGCAAUGCCGGUCUGAGAAUAGGAGCUAUCCCAAUUCCUGCCAUCAAAAUCCUUGAUCUCGACAUGGGCGAGAGUUCCAGGAUCCACACACUUGUAGGUAACCGCAACGCCAUCCGGGUUCGAUCUCGGAAUGUAGAACGAAGUGAUCCCACAGACCUUGCAGAAGGUGUGUUUAGCAGUGUGAGUGCCAAAGGUAUAGGUAGUAACGUAACUUUGCGAAUCACCCAGAAGCUCGAAACUGUGGGAAGGAACAAUGAAAUGAACAUUCCCUCUCAUGGAACAGUCGGAACAGUUGCAUUUCCAAGCUACGACGUUCCUUGGCGCUCGAACUCGCCAUCUUAUCUUCCCGCAAUGGCAUCCACCGCUGUGAUUCACCAAUUCUUCACCCUCCAUUGCUCCCUGAUACAAAAGCGUCAGUCAACAAGGAAUGAAAGUCAACCGAGCUGGAUUUUGGGUGAAGUUUACCGGAGUUUCUUUGUGGAUGGAAGCAGGCGGUUCCGUCGUCGCAAAAGAUUCAGAGGAUCGGAGGGAAAGAUGGAGAGCAAUCCAGCUGAAAGGGGAUUAGGGAUUUUGACUAUUGAUUCUUUUUGUCUUCUUCUGCGAGUUCUUUAAAGCUAAAUAAAAUAAUCAUUUCCCUAAAGAAAUGAACCGUUUGUUUGGUUCAUUGCUGAAGCUCUGCGUAGUCAAAAUACGCGGUUCCUCAAGUCAACCCUCUGAAACUGAUAAGAAAUUUCGAAACACUGAUGAUGGAGGCAUUAAUCCAAAAAGAACAAAACUUUAUUAUACCCUUUUCCAUUUCUUGAUUUCCUGACUGCAAAUUGGAAGCACUACUUUCCAUGCUGUAUCUUCUGAUUCUUCUGUGUUUACUCUGCCUCAACAAGCUUGACCCUUGCCAUGGAAUCGAUAGGAUCACUGCAAAUCAAUCACUCACCGGCGACGAGACUCUCGUCUCCGCCGGAGGGAUCUUCGAAUUGGGGUUCUUCAAGCCAGGGAAAUCAGAAGAGUACUACUACAUCGGAGUAUGGUACAAACAAGUAUCUCCACGGACGGUGAUUUGGGUUUGGAACAGAUACCGUCCAGUUUCCAACAGGUUCAAUUCCGAGCUCAAGAUUUCCGACGACGGGAGGCUAGUUCUCGUCGAAGGCGGGUCAACUUUAGUUCGGUCAACCUACAUUCGGUCAACGUCGUCCUCAUUCAACGCAGUUCUCCUCGACCAGGGAAACCUCGUCGUCAUACCAACUAAUGGCUCCUCGUCUUCUCCAAUCUGGCAGAGCUUCGAUCAACCUAGCGAUACCUUGGUUCCCGGUAGGAAGAUUGGAUUCAACAAGAUUACUGAUGACGAAGUAGUUCUCACUUCCUGGAGGAACAGAGCAAAUCCUACUGCUGGUCCAUUCACUCUCAAGCUGGGUUCAAAUCGAUCGCUUGAAUGGAACAUGGAGAGAAAUUUCUUGCUGGGUGAAAGACGGAUUAUAGAAUUGAAUUCCAUGAACAACUUUGUUUACGUGGAUGAUCGGAAUGGAAGCUACGUCACUCUUUCUGAUCAUCGACGUAACGGUUCCCUGUUUUCUCGGUACGUUUUAGAUGUAGGAGGGCAAAUUCAGCUUCUAUUAUGGCUGGAAUCCACCCAGCAGUGGGUGUCAAUCUGGCAAAAUCCUACAUCUAAAUGUGAAAUGAGUAGCUACUGUGGUGCUUAUGGGAGUUGUGAGGAGAAAUCCAGUCCAAUUUGUCAUUGUUUGGAUGGGUUUGUUCCACAAUCUCUGGUUGAUUAUAGCUCUGAGGCCUUCUACGAUGGCUGCUUAAGGAGAUACCCUCUUCAGUGCCAGAAACCUGACUGGUUUUUGCCACAUUACAAUGUGGGGUUGCCUAGCACUCCAUUGAUGAUAUCAUCAGCUACAAGUUCAGAUGAUUGCGAGGCGAAAUGUCUGAUAUCUUGCAGCUGCAGUGCUUAUUCCUACAGUGGAAACCAAUGCUCCCAUUGGGAUGAUUUAUUGUUUAAUCUGCAGCAACUGGAUGUCCCAAAUGGGAAAACCAUCUUCAUCAAACUUGCAGCUAACGAAUCCUCAUUUCUUGACAACGACAUUUAUCGAAGAAAGAACAACAAGAUCAGGAUCGUGAUUGGAUCUGUGGCAGGUUCAAUGUUGCUGCUAGUUCUUGUUGCAUUGACAAUCCUGAGAUGGAGGAGGGAUAAGAUGCCUGGGAAAUUAAUGGAAGGGUUUUUGGUGGCUUUUACACACAGACAUUUGAAGAUUGCCACCAAGAAUUUCUCACACAAGUUGGGGGAAGGAGGGUUUGGUUCUGUCUACAAAGGAACACUCCCCGAUUCGAGCAUUAUAGCCGUGAAAAAGCUGCAGAGCAUCAAUUCCAGGCAAGCUGAAAAUCGCAAGCAAUUCCUUGCAGAAGUCAGGACUCUCGGCGCAAUCCAACACGUUAAUCUGGUUGGCCUUAGAGGGUUUUCAUCUGAUAACAAUACUAUGAUGUUGGUCUAUGAUUACAUGCCAAACGGUUCGGUAUCGUCCCAUUUGUUCGAUCCUUCAAAGAUCCUCGCUUGGAACAUGCGGUACAACAUUGCAUUGGGAACAGCGAGAGGUUUAGCUUAUAUACACGAAAAAUGCAGAGAAUGUAUAAUCCACUGCGACAUUAAACCGGACAAUGUGCUAUUGGAUUCUGAGUUUCAACCCAAAGUCGCAGACUUUGGCCUGGCAAAGCUCUUUGGGAGAGAUUUCAGCCGGGUGCUAACCACCUUGAGGGGAACUAUCGGGUACAUGCCGCCUGAGUGGAUUUCGGGUGAGGCGAUUACUGCAAAAGCUGACGUUUACAGCUACGGGAUGGUGCUGUUGGAGCUGGUGUCCGGAAUGAGAAACUCGCAACGACAUGUUUGUGUCGGUCAUUACUUUCCGGUUUGGGUAGCGGAUGUUUUAAGCGAAGGUGGCGAUCUGGCUGAGGUGCUGGAUCCAAGGUUAGAAGGGAAUGCUGAUGGUGAAGAGUUGGAAAGAGUCUGUAGAGUUGCUGUUUGGUGCAUUCAGGAUGAUGAAAGUCAACGUCCGAGUAUGAGUCAGGUAGUGUACAUUCUUGAGCAGGUUUUGGAAGUGGGAAUUCCUCCUGUUCCGAGUAUUCUUCAGAGAUAUGUUAAUCCUGAUGACUGACUAGAGUUUCAGGUUGCUAUUGAUAUGAUCAUAAACUGAAAUCCAAGUUGUAAUAUACGAGCUUUGAAAUGAUUCCCAUUAGUGCAACUAAAUACCAAACAAGAACACAAUCCAAAAAAGUAAAUGAAAAUGGGAAGAAAAGAAAACAUAAAACGUUUCCGCCAUGGAUGAUAUGAUCAUAAACUGAUAUUCCAGUAGAAUCGUUGGAUGGUGUUUGUAGCAAAUACUUCAAAAUCAUGGGGCAGUUUAGCACCCGAUUGAAAAUGGUGAUUUUACCAGAAAGUUCCAGAAAAAGACCCGAGACUGACCCGUUGUCUACACCUACAGCUCAUACAAGAGUUCGGCAGGGAAAUAUCAGCACGAUUGACGAUUCUAUCCUUGACUAAUCCUCCAUGUAAUAUUAUUUCCAGGUCCAUGAAGUCUUCUACCAGCAAUGUUGACUUGACGUGUUCAUUUUCAUUUGCAAUAUGAAAUUUGAUGCUGUAACUUGGCAAGUCAUUCCUUCUCUGCCAUGGCUUCUCAUCUCUGGCUCAACUUGCCGGCCAUCAUUUUCAUUUGCUUAUCUCUCAAACCCCAUUUCUGUCUAGGAGCUGACAGGAUAGCUCAGAACCAAUCUCUGUCUGGAGACCAAACCUUGGUCUCAGCAGGAAGCAAAUUUGAACUGGGUUUCUUCAAGCCAGGUACCUCAUCAAACUAUUACCUUGGAAUUUGGUAUUAUCAAGUCCCUAGCAGAACAGUAGUUUGGGUUGCAAAUAGAGAAUCCCCCAUUUUCAACCAUUCCUCUACUGAAUUGAGAAUCUCCGGCGGUAGUUUAUUCCUGUUGAGCAGGUUCAAGGUCCCAAUUUGGUCCACAGCUGCUUCCCUUUCAUCUGCUUCAGUGGAAGCUGUACUUCUCGACGAUGGGAAUCUUGUGUUGAGAAGUGUGGUUUCUUCUUCUGAAAUUUUGUGGCAGAGCUUUGAUUACCAAACUGAUACAUUUCUUCCUGGUGCCAAGCUUGGGCGCAACAAGAUCACGGGUAAGUACACAACUCUGGUUUCGUCGAAGAGCAUUGACAAUCCUGCACCUGGAAGAUUCUCGCUGCAGAUUGACCCAAAUGGUACUAACUCGUUUGCAAUUUUAAGGCAAACGUCUUCCUUGUAUUGGACUAGUGGGCCUUGGAAUGGCAUUAUCUUCAGCUUAGUUCCUGAUCCGAUGAGAUUGAAUUUCAUUUUCAAUUUUUCAUUUGUUGACAAUGAGAACGAGACCUAUUUCACUUAUUCGUUGUACAAUCAGUCCAUGAUAGCUCGUCUGGUGAUGAGUGAUGGAGGUAACAUCCAAGCACUGAUAUUGUUGGAGAUCGGUCAUCAGUGGUCUUUGUUCUGGUCACAGCCCCGAAUGCAAUGUGACGUUGAAGGCUACUGUGGUGCAGUCGGGUCUUGUGAUGAUCGAUCCCAGCCUUUCUGCCAUUGCCUGGAAGGAUUUGUUCCAAAUUCUACGGAUGAAUACAGUUCAAAUGUGUUUCGUGGCGGUUGCAUCAGGAAAUCUAAUAUUCACUGCGGGAAUGCGAGUAUUGGGAUGAGUACUGAUGAGUUCCUUCCAGGGUAUGUAGUAAAGGACAGAAGCUCAGAUUCUCGAGCCAAUAAUUCAGCUAGGAAUGCUCAAGAAUGUGAAUCGAUUUGUUUGAGCCGUUGCUCCUGUACUGCAUAUGCUUAUGAAGGCGGUAGAUGCUCAACUUGGUAUGGAGAUGUAUUUGAUAUUUAUAAACUUGAUUAUAUCUCUGCUGGACGACAAAUUUAUGUAAGAGUUGCUGCUGAAAUUCAAAAUUCCGGAACUGCUGAAAUUCAAAAUUCCGGAACCAAGAGAAAGGUUAUUGCUGCUGUGUUUGGCUGUUCAGCUGCGGUUGUUCUUAUCGCCCUUUUACUGUUUGCGGUAUCGAGGUACCGUCGGCACAAGCUAGGUAACACUCCUGAAUCAAACGAUAAUACAUUGACUGCUUUGGAACAUUCAUACUCUUAUGAUCUAACAUAUCACUGAACAUUUACAGGAAAAGACAUUGCGGAGAGCUACAAUAUUGUGAAUGGAGAUGAAGACAACAAUACAAAGUUGACGUUUCUCAGCAUUAAGAGUGUAUUAGCUGCAACAAACAACUUUUCUGAAGCUAACAAACUAGGAGAAGGCUGGUUCGGGCCUGUUUAUAAAGUGAGGUUUCUGCAUUCCUUUCUUUGCUUUAGUAAUUGUCACAAAGAGUAAAUUAGUUGUUCAUUCGGGUGACUUUCUUUCAGGGAGUUCUGCUUCCCGGUGAUCAAGAAGUAGCCGUGAAAAGGCUUUCGAAGAAAUCGGGACAAGGGUUAGAGGAAUUCAUGAAUGAGCUGAAGCUCAUAGCAAAGCUCCAACACACUUAUCUUGUUAGGCUGUUAGGUUGCUGUGUUGAAAAGGAUGAGAAGAUACUUAUCUACGAGUACCUGCCUAAUCGAAGCUUGGACAAAUUCCUCUUUUAUUCGUACGGGAAAGCUAAGUUGGAUUGGCUGACGAGAAUUAAGAUUAUAGAAGGAAUAGCUCAAGGACUGUUGUACAUCCACAAGUACUCAAGAUUGAAGGUCAUUCACAGGGACAUCAAGGCAAGCAAUGUGCUGCUGGAUGCUGAAAUGAACCCCAAAAUUUCGGAUUUCGGAAUGGCGAGGAUUUUCGGGAUUGGUCAGGCAGAAGCCAACACCAACCGUAUAGUGGGAACAUAGUCUGUACUACUUCAACGAUCUCUUCUUGUUUAUUUACUAUCAUGGAUUUGACACUAUCAUUGUGAUGGUGCAGUGGCUACAUGUCUCCAGAAUACGCGUUCUACGGGCAGUUCUCCGAGAAAUCAGACGUAUUCAGCUACGGGGUGCUGCUGUUGGAGAUUGUGAGCGGGAGGAGGAACACAGAUUUCUACGAUUCCGAAACACCGUUAUCCCUUCUUUGCUGGGUGAGUUAACGUCGUAAUCCCUUUAUAAUUCGGUCUUAAUUAAUUUCACUUGCUGAAAUGUGUGGUUGAUUGAAGGCAUGGGAGCUAUGGAAAGAAGGUAAACCAGAAGAUCUACUUGAUCCAGCCUUGAAGAAUACCUGCAUUAAUGCUCCAGAAUCCGCGAAGUUCGUCCACGUUGGUCUGCUGUGCGUGCAAGAGGAUCCAGCUGACAGGCCGACAAUGGCUUAUGUAGCUCAUAUGUUGUCAAGCAACGAUUCUCAGUCGUUUCCAUUGCCAGGCGAACCGGCCUACAUCACAAGGAGAGCUGUUGUUGGAAAUGGUGAGCAAGUUCCCGCCGUUUUUUCAAACAACCAAUUGACACUGAGCUUGCCAACUGGUAGAUAGAUCAUAGAUCUCCCCUACUGGUCAAGAGGAGGAGCUUCAUUUUCAAAAUGAACUAGUUAAUCUAUUGUAGCCAAUUAGGGGAUGUAGCUCAGAUGGUAGAGCGCUCGCUUAGCAUGCGAGAGGUACGGGGAUCGAUACCCCGCAUCUCCAAUUUUUUCUCACCUCAUGUAAUAUUUACAAUCUCAGAACAGUAUUAGUACAGCAGAGUCCACAGAAUGAUAAAUGCAGCAAAUCUCAGUCUGGAAACCCUCUGAUGAACCACUGCUGUAAAGUAUGUGGGAAAACAACAGCAGCAAGACAUACAUUCAAUAUAUAAGACAGAUGGUGGGUUUUCAUUCACUUUUGUUUUCAUGCACUCAGCAGUUGCUGGUUUCUGAGUCCUCAAUGUUGCAUUGAUCUGUCAUCCCCUAAUGCAAUCAUUAACCUAUUCAAAAGGGAGAGGUGGUGAUGAUGGGAUGGAUGAUGGAUUGUGCCACCAAAUGCGCCAAAAGAAGUGAACAGUCAUUAUGAUCAUUAAUUCGUUGCUAGAAAAAUGAUAGCUAUAAUCAUAAUUUUCCACCAACUUUUUUCAUCACACAAAUCAAUACCAAAACCAUGCUUAGAAUGCGUCUAGCAUGCUGUUUAUGUACUCGAAUUAUCAACCCUGAUCUUUCUCCAGUAGACAGGGUUUCGUUUAAGAAUGUUUGAUUUGUCAAGAAUCGUUGCAUUUUAAUAAUUUAAAUCGUUGAGAAAGGGUUAAUAAUAAAUAUUAUAUUAUUCUUUAACAUAAUUUGUUGUCUCUUUAUAGUCUAUACUUGUUUUUGUAUCACGAAAAGUGCAAAUUCAAAAUUUAUAUGUUUUUCAUACGCUAUAAAUACUCUCUAACUCUUAACUAGGAAAUACUUCUAAUGGAACAGAAUGUUAUAUAUACAUGACUACAUAGGCCACUCUNNNNNNNNNNNNNNNNNNNNNNNNNNNNNNNNNNNNNNNNNNNNNNNNNNNNNNNNNNNNNNNNNNNNNNNNNNNNNNNNNNNNNNNNNNNNNNNNNNNNAGUUGGGUUGGGAGGUGCCAAUUAGCAUUGCUUUCCCCCUUUGGCUUCCAUUUUGUUUUUCUCCCUAUAUACUACUAGAAGUACAUGCAUGAAACCCUAGUUUUUCAUCCUUUCUGUGCAACAAAAUUUGUUGUUUUCUCCUUUCCAUUAUAUCCCAAGUAAUGAUAAGCAAUUGUUGCCACCUAACAUUGCUAUAAAGCCAUGCAUGGCCAAUUAAGAAAUGCAACCAAAAAGGACCAACAAAAGAAGAGAAUCUUAUAAUCAUUUUCCAUUCCACCUAGCCUUCAUUCACAAUUCAUCAAUUUUCAGAAACAUUAAUUAUAUAAUAACGUUAUUAAUAAAUCAACGAUAAAUUAAAAAUUGGGAAAUUAUAUAUAUUUGAGGAUAUUUCGUAUCCAAUAUUAAUAAAAUAAUAAUUAAAUAAUUUUUUUCUACCUAAAUAAAUGAACUCAAUUUUUUAUGCUUUUGAUAUCUAACCCAUAAAUCUGAUUAACAACAACGAAUAAAAAAUAAAAAAGGGGGAAAAGAACCCAACACUCUUCACCAAUGUUUAGUGCCAAAGUGGAUUCCAUUUGGGACUUAGAAUUCAACACCCAACAAAAAUGAACAAAUUAAUUAAUUAUGCUUUCAAAGAUUGUGUGCUCUUAUCUAAUACACUAGAAUCUCAACUUUGGGUGACAGAUGUUUCCAAUUCAGUGGUCAAUGCCUGGUCUUUGUUACCAACUCAUAGCCAUCUUCUGUUUGAUAUUUUUGCUAACUUUUCAUUCGAGAGGUCGUUUACGAUGUUGUUAUCUCUUUAUCGUUUAUGUAUAAUUAUACGACGAGUAAUGUUAGAAAUGUUCUCUAUUGUUCAUCUUUAAUUGUUGAUGAUAUUGUUGACAGAAGUAUGCAUGGAAUACUUAUUGUUUUGGACACAUGAUGGGGUUAUAGUGAAAUGGCUCGAAGGAUCAAAUUAAUGGAUCGCGAAUGAGAAAAGCCUAACAAAUUCAAAAAGAUGUAUCACUCGCAUAGUUGAAUGUGCCAACAGAGAAUCAGGGUAACGCCCCGCUUGCUAAGGAGGUGAAACUCGCAUUAAAUGCUAAUAAGACGAGUCCCUGAGCAACUACCCAUCGAUUUUAUAUAGCUAAGAAGUUCGUGAUAUGUGACAACCUCGACUCUUUCGAGAAACUCAAAAUACACCGUACAUCCUUGGCGUUCAAUAUUAGUGUUUUGGAUGCUUUCUCAUUCACUUAUGUAGUUUGUAACAACUAACAAUGUAUAGUACAAUUCCAUGGAAACUAAUCCACGAUGGUUGAUUUCUUUCUUUCCUUUCUGUACUUCUUUCCGACAAUAACCAGAAGAAGAAGAAGAAACAAAUAAAAGAAACGUAAGCUAAGAACAGAGUAAAACCAGAGCAACAACAGAGUAGAGCAAAAAGAUCCAGUCUUUCGUCACAAAAAGAUUUCAAUAUACGAUCUCACACGAAACCCAGAAAAUUUCUGCUCAAUUAAACCUCCGGCGCCUGAUCCCGGCUGUCCCUUUCAGGUGGAGAAUCUCCGGUGGCUCCUUUUCAACAUCCCUUCCAUUACCACCCUCUGUUUUCUGUACUCCCUCGUCGCCGCCGCUGUCCUGUCCUUCUCCGUGGACUUCCUCGAUUCCACCGCCGGAGACUCCCGAAUGUGUCGGUGCCGCCGUCGAGGGAGGGAAUAUAGGCAGAUCAAAGUCAACGCCACUGCCCAGAAUUUCCCACCUAACACUGUCACUCCCAGACUCACCAGCAGCAGA